rnacentral:lncRNA from 1 species
CUGUGUUGAGCAUGCUGCCACAGCCAGAGCCACAACCUGAACCAUGGCCACCAGAGUUGGCAUGGUUAGUCUCCCAUGAUCAUGCCACCACAUCCACCGCCACCGCACCCGGCGCCACAGCCUGAACCGCAGCCCCCAGACUUGGCAUGGCUCAUCUUGGAGCCUUCCAUGAUCAUGCGGCCACAUCCGCCGCCACCGCAGCCGGCACCACAGCCUGAACCACAGCCCCAGACUUGGCGUGGCUCAUCUUGGAGCCUUCCAUGACCAUGCCGCCACAUCCGCCGCCACCGCAGCCGGCGCCACAGCCUGAACCGCAGCCCCCAGACUUGGCAUGGCUCAUCCUGGAACCUUCCUUGACCAUGCCGUCACAACCGCCGCCACCGCAGCCGGCGCCACAGCCUGAACCACAGCCUCCAGACUUGGCAUGGCUCAUCUUGGAACCUUCCAUGACCAUGCUGCCACAACCGCCGCCACAGCCUGAACCGCAACCGCCUGACUUGGUGAAGCCAGUCUUGGAGCCUUCAAUGACCAUGCUGCCGCAGCCACCGCCACAGCCUGAACCGCAACCACCUGACUUGGCAAAGCCAGUCUUGGAGCCUUCCAUGACCAUGCUGCCGCAACCACCGCCGCAGCCAGAGCCGCAGCCUGAGCCACAACCACUAGACUUGGUGAAGCCACAACCGCCUGACUUGGCAUGGCCAGUUUUGGAGCCUUCAACCACCAUACCGCCACAACUGCCACCACAACCUGAACCGCAGCCGCUAGGCUUGGCAAUGCCACCCUUGGAACCUUCAAUGGCCAUGCCGCCACAACCUCCACCACCACAACCUGAACCACAGCCACCAGACUUGGUGUUCCCCUCCUUGGAGCUUUCAAUAACCAUGCUGCCACCGCAGGAACCGCCGCAUCCCGAUCCACACCCAGCAGACUCAAUAUGGCCAUUCUCUCCGCCUGCAACGACACCACAACUCGCAUGACCUUUCUUGUAGCUCAUGGUGACCACAGAGACACCACAUCCACCACCACAGCCUGAUCCACAACCACCGCACUUAGAAUCAGCCACCUUGCCGCUUGCAAUGACCGAGCCGGCACAGCUAGCAUGACCAGCCUUGUCACUUGCCAUGACCAUGUCGCCGCCACCGGCCGUGCCACAAGCGCCACAUUGUGCCGGACCAGCAGUGGCGCCUGCUGCUCCACCUUUCACCAUUUCAGAUGCCACUGUAGUAUCAGGCUGACCUUCAAUGAGCUUCGCACCAUGUUUUCCGAUGGAAUUCAGGAACAAGAAUGACAUCGCGAUCCAGGGAAGCAGAAACCAAUCCUCAUCCACCUAAAUUUAAGUAAGAAUGUACCAUGAGUGUAUCUGACAUGCAAGGAAAUUAAUUUUGACUAGUUAGAAGGAUAUGGCGUUAGAGCUGACGAUGUACCGUGAUAAAUUUUGAUUCAGUGUCAACUAGGGCGACUGCUUUGCCAUAGGGGUGUUCAGCCGAGAACUUCACAGCGGUAACUGCUGCUGCAGUAUCUUCAGCAUGCUGACUGCAGCAUUUGAGUUCAUAUGCUAGUCUCCUUCCCUUGUAUAGUUUGAUCUGCUUUGUUCAAAGAAGUACCAAAACUAUGAGUAUGAACUUAAAUGCAUAAACGUUUCUUAUUUACAUAUGAAUUAAUGUAAUCAUUAUCUUCAGAGCAAACAUGAAUUGAGCUGUACACUGCAACUGUCCUUACCAAUUUGUUGUCGUAUUUGAGCUCGUGUAUGCAGCCAUCCUUGCUUGGUUUCAGGUCAUGAGUGACGGAUGGGUUGGAGUUGUUGAGAGACCAUUUGUUUUCCGUGAAUUCUGCAAGCUGAAAUGGAUGCUUUGAUGACUUUGUUACUCCAACCAAUUCUUGAGUGAGAGCCAUGCCACUCUUGGCCUUGUGCUCCCUGAAUUAAGGGGAUGAAUUUCUCAUUAGACUAGAAAAAAAAACAGAUAUUUCAUUCAUAGUAAAAUAAUCCCCGCAAAUUUUUUUAGUAAAUUAGAACUUUGCCGUGUCCACUGGAAUAAAUUUGGAUCUGUUUUGAAGGCGAAAUACAGAUACUUCUAUAUAAGUCGAAUAUUAAUUCCUGCAGAAAACACCAAUUUGCAGUUUGAAAUGAAACUGUUAUUGGCAAUCGAUGUAUCACAUAGUAACUUUUUAUUCGUUUCUGCAACAGAAAAAAAAAUCCAAGUAUCAUGCAAGACGUACUAAUCAGCAGACAAAUGCGUUUCUAGACUCAAUGUUCAGUUCUUCACAUAUAUGUGCCGACUGAUGCCACGGACAGCGAAAAUACCUUAUCUGAAGACGAAUGAGUUCAGUACCACAAUCAUACACGAAGCGAGUCCAGGAGCUCAUAUCUUGAUCCUUGGUGGAAUGUGGCAAUAGACAGGCCUUCAGAGAGCAAGGCUUCACAUUCACCAUGCUAAGAACCUGUGAAGCCUGCCUUGGGACAGUACAAGAUGCGGCGACACGAAGACUGACAGGAGGGGAACCAGCAUAAGCGCCGCAACUUUUCAGUUCAAACCACCUCUCAAAGGAGAGCUUGGAAUCAUGCUGUGUAAGCUCUUGAAGAGAGAUCGAAACCUUCCCCAACGGUUCCGAUUUCUUCGAUGACGAUGCCCCAGAAUAGGCCAGAUCAACCAUUACUGUAAGAAUGAGUUCGCCGGUAGGUUCGCAUUGGAAACCAGCUCCAAUACUCUUCCCUAUUUUCGAUGAAAUAUCCAACCUGCCGCCAUCACCGAUAAGUGCAUCUGGUUGAGUCUUGGUGAACCAUACAUACACACUUUUCUCUGGAAUUGCAGAUGGUAAGUUCUUGAUGUCCACAAUCUGUAAGUAUAACUACAAAAGUAUGAAAAUAUUUUGAGUUAGUAAAUUCAGUAACUGUCUCUUGGCGCUGGAUCGUGUUUUUAGAUAACUGAUACCAGGCGUUUCUUCCAAAUUAAUAAUCUAAUAUUAAUAGUAGUACAACAUACAACAUUUUGGGUUAACUUACUAGAUCAGAAAAAACUUUGAAUCCAAAAUUAUUGACUACUUGUCUAACUGUUGCUUCAUGGACAGCAAUAAGAUGUAAAAAGAAUAUCAUACCUCCACAACUGCUGUUUCAACAACAGCAAGACGCUUCUCCGCUUCAUCGACACCAAAAACACCAUCUUCCUCACCACCAAAUUCUAUCCGAGGAACGGAUGUCACGGGAGACGGCAAGCUUCCACGGUACAUAGCGCCGGCCUUCCAGUACCUCACACCAAAGCAAUCCUCGAACUGCUCGGUGGUGCCUGAAAACCCGGUGUCGAGCUUCUUCCCUUCGGCCCGAUCGUCGUCCGUGUCAUCGUGCUCCAGAACUCUCCCAAGGAGACCCACCAUGUCAUCGCGGUAGGCAAGAGGAUUCAGUUGGUGGGUGUGCCACAUCAGAUCCACAUCGUAGGUUGGCACACGGAAGAGGUUCGUUCCUUUCUCCUGGUUCAUCUUGAUCAGAUACAAAAACCCUUUGUACCGAGCCAAAGCGUCUUCAAGGAAACGGCGAUCAUGCAUGGUUGGUGUUCCAACCUGCCAGAAACGAAGGAAUUCACUGAAUUUCUCUACAUAUUUAUUUAACAGAGCAAAGUUUAGUAGUGUGACCAGCUACCUGGUAGACGAAAGAAGACUGUCUCUUAACAGCUGAGAUCAAAUCGUAGGAAAUGCCUCCUGCGGUUCCAUCGCCCACGUAAACAGAUUCUGUAGUGUACUCCAACUCAAAGGGCUCCCCAGGAUAUAACUCGGUCCAAACUUUCUCGGACGGAUCCUUGGACUUUGCUUGAACGGAGGACUUGACAUUGUUAGAGUCCAAUAUCCUGCCAUAUAAUCUCUUGCAAUCCUUUAUGUAUCGAUUCUGAAACAAGAUGAUUUUGAUUUAGAAAUUAUUUCCAGCCAUGUUGACACUAGUAUUUUCUUUUAUGCCAGGUGUUGCAAACAUAUACUGCUAGUUCUCCAAUGUUGUGAUGACAGAUUUUGAACGACACACGAACAUCUGUGAGUUAAUAUAUGUGUACCGGGUUAAGCCGAUGGCAGUGCCAUAUCCAUUCGCAGUCAAGCGGAACAACCAGAGGCUCAUCAUCUGCAAGAAUAGCGGCCUUGGUGUGCUUGGCAAGAAGGGGAAGCCAGCAAGCUUUGUACCUAGCACAACAACAAAGUCAGACAAUAUUUCGAAGUCUUCCAUACGAUACAGAACAUAAACUAAUUUAGCACCGGUGAUAUUUUUUACAUAGUAGUAUAAUCAGUGAUUUCAGCAUGAUAUACAGGGUCUUUAAAAGUAAAAUAGGCAGACAGAUUUAAUUACAUGCCAAAACUAUCUAGAUAAGGCCCGAAACUGUAGCACCAGACUGUAACUGGAAGCACAGACCAGAGGAUGGUUUCAGAAGGAAAAAUUACUGGCGAUUAUCGAUGCCAUUCCUUAUUAUAAAACUGAAAACCCAAACAUAUAUUCUCAGUUCAACUCUGUUCCACCGACCUAAUUAUACCAAGGUUAACUGAACUAGUGUUUUCUUUCUGUCUGAUUUUGCUGAAGAAGCAUGUGUCUGUCAGGGUGAUUCAACAGGAGUUUACCGAAGAAACAUGGCAACGAUUAAUCACUGAGAAAAUUUCACUCCCAGCACAAGAAGACGCCAUAGAUGGUAGAAAGUGUUGAUCAACAAUACCCAGAAGAUAAAAGAAAAAACGAUGAAACGCCUCGGAAAACAAACUAGAUUCACAGACGCGAUGGUCUCUCUUGUGCUGCUCAAGAGGCAACAGGAUGGAUGGCGAUAGUCGGUAGGUACCUGCGUAUGGCCCUGUGGAGCAGCGGGCCGUCGUAGAGCCACCGGCGGCGGUCGACCGCGGCGAGGAACUCCAGCUGCCGCAGCGCGGCCGGGACGAGGUCCUCGCCGAUGCCGAUCCCCUGCGCCGCCGCCCACCGCGACUCCUGCUCCGCGUCCAUCUUUCUUCUCCCUCCUUGCUCCGAUCGUCCCCACCCCACCCACCUGCAAGAACCUGAGUGAGGGAGACUGCGCUACGGACUCCGAUGGCUGACUCUCUGCCACCAAGUAACCAUGCAUGGCUCCCUAUUUAUGCACCGAGGGAGGGAGCCAGGAGCACGCAAAUAGUGUACGGCGAGGCAAAACACAGCACAGAGAUAAAUUAUUGACCAACUGAAAUACUCCACUAGCAUCGAUCGCUAUCCAAUCCACGGCGAAUAAUGUAUGAGCUGCUUUCAGUUAAGGGCACUCGUACGUAGCGUGUGCUGCGCGCGCAUGAACAACUCUGCACGCUUUCUGAACCCAUACGAUAUCCAUCCAUGCAUGAUCGAUCUUUCUUGCCAACUAUGCACACUUGUGGCUGCUGGUACUGCAAAAGCAAAUGCAAGUGCAAGUGCAAGUGCAUGCAUCUUCUACCAACUCUCCAGCUUCCUUUUGCAGCUCGUUUAGAAACUUUGAAAUGCAGAAAAAGAUAUUACACCUGCUAUAAAUACUAUGCACACAGUAGUACGACAAGUUUUUAGAUCAGUGACAAGAAGUAAAAUUUAGUCUGGAUCAUGUAACAAAACCGUGGCAAUAAUUUCGCAGGACCCUAGCUAAUCCUUGCAAAAAGUAUUGUUGCUUGCAAACCCAAGAAAACUAUGUGAUGUAACACAUCACGCUUGGACUAUUCAAUAAUGGAGAUGCUCGGCCUGUGCGGAUCAUGCCGCUUCCGGAGCAUACGCAGCACGAUAGUAGUACACUCGUACUGCAGUAGUACAGGGCUCAAGGCGUUUGAUCGUACGGUACGUCACAUGGCCGUGGUUUCUGCCAGGUCAUCUCCGCACCGGAUAAACAAUUCUGGGGCGGAAUUAUGCUAUUAUUACAGAUUAGAGCAUCUCCAAAAGUUCCAUAAAAUAAUUACAGUUUAGGGGAAGUUGGGCACACAAAAAACAGUCUCCAAACAUUUCCAUAAACGCCCAAGAAAUUACAAAUAAUCCCGUGUAACCUUAAAAAAAACCUUCAUCUACGGGAAGAUGACCGCCCUUUCCGUAAAAGUGUCACACCACCCAAUCCCCAUUGGACGCCCCCCCCCCCACCACCACCAACGACUGUCGUGCAGCUUGCUCGCCGUCGCUGAACAACAUCGUAUGAUGUCACCACCGUUAGUUGGGGUUGCGUCACCACGAAAAACCACUUAUAGGGAAAGUUUUCACGGAACUGAGAAAAGACCGCACCUUGGAACUUCCUCCAAGUUAUAUGGACAUCCCGUAAAACCACUUCUAUGGAGAAUUUUUUACAGAAACCGUUGAAGAUGCUCGUCCGUUGGGUUUAUAUGGUGUUUGAUUGGGUUUAUUCUUGGCUUUUGCACUUUGGUUUAUAAGCUCAAAAACAUCUAUUUAUGGGAUUCUGGCUUUAGCUUUUGGCUUACAUAAACAUGUAGCAACACUGAGUCAUAAGUCUAAAGCGUAUAAAUAGGUCAUUUUUUUGGUUUACAAACCAAAGUGUAAAUGCCAGAAACAUGACCAAGUCUCACGUUGGUUGUCGGAGGUAGAAGAUGACUUAUAAGAAUGUAGUGUCCCCUCCUAUCAAGCUGGUCUUUCAGACAAUAUCUUAUUUUUGACCCUCUUUAGAAAGGGAAUUUUUGUUUUAGCCAUUGUAGAUUUUGCUCAUUUUCCUUAUCCCACUCUAGUUUUUGACAUGUCACUUUUGUCACUCUUAGCUUUUGACAAUACAUCACAAUUGUCAUUUCAUGGCAAAAGCAAAAUAAUUUCAUUUCACUUUUGCCAUUUUCUAUGUAGGUUAUGAGGCAAAGCAACAAAGACUAAGACCGAGCAAAACAACAUAUAAUCUAGUGAAAUGUGCUAAAAUUGAUAACAAAAUUCAUGAUGCUUGUAUUGUAUCUAAUGCCAAAGUAAAUUACGUGGAGAUCGGGCGACAUAAAAAACUUAGCAAAUUAUGUAGGGGAACCAUCAUCAACUCCCCACGAGUACCGUUGCUUGUUUUCUUAUUGUUCUUAGGCGUCAUCCCAUUGUAUAUGUUCUACUAUUUGCGGCACAUUUGAAUUAUCUAGGAUUAUAUGUUGUGCCAAAUAUUAGUUGCAUACUCUUGCUGGGAUGGAUUGCUCUUGUCUUGCACCGCCUUUUUGCGGCACGAGAUGUAAAUGAUUCAAGGCCAAGUGUGGUGUAGGCAUGCAAUGGCAUCAUAUCACUUAACCUAGUAAAUGUAAAAACAUACAUGCCCAUAAAAUAUCAAAAAAUGAGCAACACCAACGACUCCAGGAUAAACCACUCACUCACAAUUUAUUUACUCUAGAAUUUUUUUAAAUCAGUAGAUUUUUAGUUAUCCCUUCUAUUUACUUACACCUAAAAACAAAAAUCUUGCACUCUAGAAACCUCCGUCAACUUUAGAUAUUUCUCCCAUGGUAUUUAAAGAUACUAUAAAAGACAGAAUGAUAUAUACAUAUACUUAGAAUUUAUCUAAGUGGCAAAAUGGAAUAGGUGAUAGAAUGCGAGUUUGAUCUUUUUGGCUUUUCUUUGCUACAGAGGAAUUCUGAUCUAACGGGGGCUUUUAAGGGGAACUAUCUAAAGAAGGAAACUAUAAAUGCCACCUUUUAUGCAUACUAUAUUCUAUAAAUAUAGUGUAUGUAUAAUUGUAUUGUAGAUGUUAAAAUUGUAUAACAUGAGUAUUUUAUCACAAUAUAUAGUAGCAUUGUUGGGAAACUAAAUCGGUCCAGACAGUAUGUUGAGAUAAUAAGUUAAAAAUAAGUAAAAAAAUGUAGUAUAAAUAAAUGAAUAUAAUUUAGGCUAUCUUACUUGUAAAAUGAACCCAUGGUCUACCGUCGGUCUGUCGCCAUAGCCCUGAGCUUCUCGACUCGUGCGGCGUCCGAAAGCAGUGGCGGAACGAGGAACGAAAUGAAGGGUGUGCACACUUUAAAAAAAAAUCCUACCUAAUCCAAGUGUAACAAAAUAUGGCAAAAGAAUUACAUAAAUAGCUCAAUUCAAAUCUCACAACCAUUUAGUUCACAAAAUAUAUCCCAAAUGUGCUCAGUUACAAUACAAAAGGCUUACAUGAAAGAAACAGAAGUAAAAAAUUACAACACUAGGUAACUCUACGUCGUUACAUUGCCAUGAAAGCAUCAACUAUUUCAUCUUCACUUACUUUCAUGAACACAUCUCGCUCAAUGAAUAUCAUCAAGCAAUUAUUCAAGCGAUCAUCACCCAAGCUAGUCCUCAAUUUAUUUUUCACUAGAUUCAUUGCAGAAAAUACCCUUUCAACACUCGUCGUUGCCACUGGUAAAAUCAAUAUCAAUUUGAUGAGUAAGUGGACCAAAUCAUAAAGAACAUGCUUCUUUGUUGCAACAAGCAAAAUAGAGAGAUCACCAAUAUUACUUGCAUUUCUAAACCUAUCAUCUUGUCUCAUAUCAUAAAUAAAAGUACCAAGUUGAAAUUCUAGCCUUAUCAAAUCCGUGCUUGAUAUGUCCAUGGGAUAGAAUUCAACAAGUUUUAUUUCCUUGAAUGCAUCAUAAGAAGCAAAUGAAUUGAGGGGAUUCAAAGCCGACAUGCAAAUAAGCAACUCCGUAUUAACCUCGUCAAACCGGUUGUUAAGCUCUUGAAUGAUUUGGUCAAUGACACCAAGAUAUAUUUCUCUUCUAUAACGAUCAUCAUUUGUUUGUACUUCAUAAUACCGACGUGAUCUUCCAUGAUGCUCAUAAGUAUCCUGCCAUAAAGGAACUUGAAUGCCAUGUUUGUUGCAAAAUAAGGUUAGCUUUGCAAGAAAUUCUUCCCAACCAUGACACCUCAUGUGUUGCAUUCUACUCUUUGCCAAACUAACAAGUGCCAUUGCAUUAACAAUAUAUUAAUCUCUCUUUUGCAAAGAUUUGGACAACUCAUUUGUAUAGCCAAGAAUAACAAGCAUCAAGUGAAGAUUGAAAACAAAUUCAAAUGAUUCAAUGGCUUGAGUAACUCCAUGUAUUCUUGUCCAUUCACCUUUUUGUGAAGGAUCUUUUCCAAUGGCGUCAAGUACCUCAAGAAUUGUGGAAUACAUAUGCUAACAAUAUGCAUAAUGGUUUUAAAAUGAGAAACCCAACGAGUAUCGCCGGGUCUAGAUAGUCCCAUCUCUUGAUUUAGCCCACUUCCACUUUCAAUCUCACCCAUUUCAAGAGCUUCCAAAACCUUUUGAGCUCUAACAUCUCGAAGCAUGUCAUGUCGCCUACAAGAAACUCCAACUACAUUGAGCAAGUAAGAAACAUGAUCAAAGAACCACAAACAUGGUUCAUUAUCCUUUGCCACAGCUAUAAGAACCAAUUGAAGUUGAUGUGCAAAACAAUGGAUGUAAUAGGCCGAGGGUGACUCUUUCAUGACCAAAGUUUUCAAUCCUUUAGUCUCCCCUUUCAUGUUGUUAGCCCCAUCAUAUCCUUGCCCACGUAUUUGACUAGGUGUCAAAUGAUGAUCUUUAAGCAAAGUUUGAAUUGCAUCCUUAAGUGACAAUGAAGUUGUAUUGGGAACAUGAACAACUCCAAGGAACCUCUCAUACCCUCUUCCCGAUUUAUCAACAUAACGUAUGUAGAGAGCAAGUUGUUCUUUGUGAGAUGCAUCACUGGACUCAUCAGCUAGGAUUGCAUAGUGGUCAUAACCAAUAUCUUCAAUAAUUCUUUUAGUUGUUUGCGCCGCACAACAUUCAAUUAUUUGAUUUUGUAUCUUUGGACUAGUCAAUAUGCAAUUCCCAGGAGCAUUGUUCAGAACAACCUUAUUAACUUCUUCUUCAUUUGCAGAAAGUCAUUUAAGAAGUUCAAGAAAGUUCCCCCUAUUGCUAGAGUCUUCACUUUCAUCAUGUCCACGAAAUGCCAAUCCUUGGUUCAAAAGAAACCUCAAGCAUCUAAGUGAAUAAGUUAGCCUAGCCAUGUACAUACGUAGAUCCUCUUUAGACGCCCUCACAAUGAUAUCAUCAAUUGAUGGUUGGGGUAACACAAACAAAUUGUACUUCUCUUGAGCUUUGUUGUGAAUGCUAUUUAUACCACCUUCAUGUUUGUCUAAUGCAUCAAGACCUAUACCAAUUUUUCCAAGCACCUUUAACAAAUGUAUCACCCCUAGGUCCCCCAUUCGAUUUGCCUUUGAACAAAUAACACACAAAGCAAAAUGUUGCCUCAUAUUUGACACUAUAUUCUAGCCAUUUAUAGUUCUCAAACCAAACAAAGUUGAAGUGUCGAUUUUUACCAUACAUUUUCUUGACUUCAAAGUUGUGUGCAUAUGGUUGGAUUGCAUUCUUUGCAAUGUACCGUUUCCGAACUUUAUCUUGAUCACCGACAUCAUACUCUGAAAUAGGAAUCCUUUCCCCUGGAUUAGUUGGAAGCCUUUGAAUAUUAUAUGAUCUUGCAUUUGGAUGUUGAGGUGAUGGUUGUCGUGGCGCUUCAUCAUCAAUAUCAAUGUCAAUCUCUAGAUCGGAAUGGACUGGAGGUGAAUAAAUAUCAAUGUCAAUCUCUGAAUCUAAAUGGAGUGGAGGCAGUGGAGGUGGAUCAAUAUCAGGUUUAUGUUGCUCUUGGGCUGCAACCUUUCUUGUUUUUGCCUCAUAAUUGAGGAAAAAUGACUUAAUGUCAUCAUUCCUCUUCAUCUUCAGAUGUACUAUAAUUAAAACAUAAUGUCACUACAAAGUUGUAACUGCAAAGAGCAAAGUCUGCAAACAAGAUACAAACUCAUCCACCAAGCAACUCACCCACGAGCCAUGAGGCCACAACGAGCGGCUCUGCCCUGGGCGAGCAGCGACGCACCGUCGGAGCGGCAGGACUGGGAGCAGUGGCGGAAGCUCCGCGGCUGGGCAGGCAGUGCCGGAAUGGCGGAAGACCGUGUUGGGGAACGUCGCAUGGGAAACAAAAAUUUUCCUACGCGCACGAAGACCUAUCAUGGUGAUGUCCAUCUACGAGAGGGGAUGAGUGAUCUACGUACCCUUGUAGACCGUACAGCAGAAGCGUUAGAGAACGCGGUUGAUGUAGUGGAACGUCCUCACAUCCCUCGAUCCGCCCCGCGAACAAUCCCGCGAUCAGUCCCACGAUCUAGUACCGAACGGACGACACCUCCGCGUUCAGCACACGUACAGCUCGACGAUGAUCUCGGCCUUCUUGAUCCAGCAAGAGAGACGGAGAGGUAGAAGAGUUCUCCGGCAGCGUGACGGCGCUCCGGAGGUUGGUGAUGACCUUGUCUCAGCAGGGCUCCGCCCGAGCUCCGCAGAAACGCGAUCUAGAGGAAAAACCGUGGAGGUAUGUGGUCGGGCUGCCGUGGAAAAAUCGUCUCAAAUCAGCCCUAAAACCUCCGUAUAUAUAGGUGGGAGGGAGGGGACCUUGCCUUGGGGCUCAAGGAGCCCCAAGGGGGUCGGCCGAGUCCAAGGGGGAAGGCUCCCCCCAAAACCGAGUUGGACUUGGUUUGGUGGGAGGGAGUCCUUCCCUUCCUUCCCACCUCCUCUUUUUUUUCCUUUUCUCUUGAUUUUCUCUUCUUGGCGCAUAGGGCCCUUUUGGGCUGUCCCACCAGCCCACUAAGGGCUGGUGUGCCACCCUCAAGGCCUAUGGGCUUCCCCGGGGUGGGUUGCCCCCCUCGGUGAACUCCCGGAACCCAUUCGUCAUUCCCGGUACAUUCCCGGUAACUCCGAAAACCUUCCGGUAAUCAAAUGAGGUCAUCCUAUAUAUCAAUCUUCGUUUUCGGACCAUUCCGGAAACCCUCCUGACGUCCGUGAUCUCAUCCGGGACUCCGAACAACAUUCGGUAACCAACCAUAUAACUCGAAUACGCAAGAAACAACGUCGAACCUUAAGUGUGCAGACCCUGCGGGUUCGAGAACUAUGUAGACAUGACCCGGGAGACUCCUCGGUCAAUAUCCAAUAGCGGGACCUGGAUGCCCAUAUUGGAUCCUACAUAUUCUACGAAGAUCUUAUCGUUUGAACCUCAGUGCCAAGGAUUCAUAUAACCCCGUAUGUCAUUCCCUUUGUCCUUCGGUAUGUUACUUGCCCGAGAUUUGAUCGUGAGUAUCCGCAUACCUAUUUCAAUCUCGUUUACCGGCAAGUCUCUUUACUCGUUCCGUAAUACAAGAUCCCGCAACUUACACUAAGUCACAUUGCUUGCAAGGCUUGUGUGUGAUGAUGUAUUACCGAGUGGGCCCCGAGAUACCUCUCCGUCACACGGAGUGACAAAUCCCAGUCUCGAUCCAUACUAACUCAACGAACACCUUCGGAGAUACCUGUAGAACAUCUUUAUAGUCACCCAGUUACGUUGCGACGUUUGAUACACACAAAGCAUUCCUCCGGUGUCCGUGAGUUAUAUGAUCUCAUGGUCAUAGGAACAAAUACUUGACACGCAGAAAACAAUAGCAACAAAAUGACACGAUCAACAUGCUACGUCUAUUAGUUUGGGUCUAGUCCAUCACAUGAUUCUCCUAAUGAUGCGAUCCCGUUAUCAAGUGACAACACUUGCCUAUGGCCAGGAAACCUUGACCAUCUUUGAUCAAUGAGCUAGUCAACUAGAGGCUUACUAGGGACAGUGUUUUGUCUAUGUAUCCACACAAGUAUUGUGUUUCCAAUCAAUACAAUUAUAGCAUGGAUAAUAAACGAUUAUCAUGAACAAAGAAACAUAAUAAUAACUAAUUUAUUAUUGCCUCUAGGGCAUAUUUCCAACAGACCGGAGGGGCGGAGCCGCGGAGGGCAGAUGGCUAGGGCGCCGGAGCCGGAGCGCGAUGGAGCGGGGGAGCCGGGGCCAGAUGGGACGAGGGGAGCCGGGGAGGACCGGCGGUCGCGGCGACCGGCGGGGAGGCGCCGAGCAACGGCGGCCCGGCGGCCGAGCGCGAGCCCUAGCGGGGAGCAGGUUGCGGCGUCCUCUAUGUUAGGAAUUAAUUAAAUGUAUUAAUUAAUGGGAUAAUCCCUGCGUUGCCGGUUGCCUUGUUUUAGCAACCGUUCCUUGUAAACCGCCUCUGUAACAGGGGUAUAAAUACCCACAUCUUCAAUCAAUGAAAACACUGUUCCAUCAUUCUGUCACUUUCACUACUUUACACGUUAUCAGCGCUCGCUCUGCCGAGAGCGACAGAGAGCCAAGAGAAAGGUGAGAAUGGCAGGGAGAGAUUUGUCCUCGCUUGCUUUUGCUUUCGCACGUUUCCUGCAGAAAGAAGACAGCCGCUUCACUCGCACGCAGCGCCACCGCAUUGCACGUCGCCGUCAGGGUCUUGGUGCAAGGAAUGGCCCUCGCCGCCGUUCCUUCACCAGGAACCACCGCCAGAACCGGAGUGGCCCUCAUCGCCGCUUCUUCGCCGGGAACCACCGCCAGAACCGCCGCCGUGGGGCCAUCAGCGUCGUUCCUCGAAGAAGAUGUGAUGUUCCCCUGUGAACUUGCGCCGCCGCCUCUUCCUCCAUACUGCAUGCAGCACGGAUUCGGGCCAUGCCCUGCGCGCACGGAUGGCCACGUCCCGGAGCUGCCAUCCCCGACGCCGGCAGCGGCAGCACACACCGGCCCCGUCCCGGAUCUGCCAUCUCCGACACCGGAUCGAGAGGAACGAGGCGGUUAUCCCACCAUCCCCAUCUUGAACAUCCAGAUCAAGGUUGAAGAAGAGGGGAUGGAGGCCAUGGGCUCGUCGUCGUCGCUCCGCCCUCCAUCACCGGCGAUACCUCCUCCUCCUCCGGCUCCGCCCCUUCCGCUGACGCCACCGCCGGAAGCUCGCCGGAUCCUGUGCUAGUUCGCCGCUGCUAUGGCGCAGAACCGGGCGGCUCUUCGUGGCGCGUGGUCGCCGGACGCCCUGGGCUUCGCCGGCGCACCGGAGGCAAGCAGCAGCGGGAGUAGCCGGGCUGCGCUGCGGGGCCAGCCCCGUUUUCCUUGAAGCAGCCAUGGGGAGAGGAGGCUGGAGUUGUGAGGUGUUUGGGUCUGCAUCGGGAAGAAGAUGGGAAACAGGAGAGAAGUGGCUGUGUGGCCUCGGCUUGCUGCCUUGCUCUCUCCCUUAUCCAUUUCUCCAACCGGUAUAUGGUCCAACACAGGCCACGUCCACUCCAAACUCCAAGCCACGUUUUCCUCUCCAAAAGGCCUACAAGCCACGUUUCCUCUUCAAAAGGCAUACAGGCCAGGAAAUAAAGUGACUAUUAGCGUUGUGUUUUAAUCAUAGUACUACUAUGCUGCAAUUACUAUAUUGCACUGCAGAUUGUUCCUUUUUAUUUCAGUGUGAUAUGUUAUUGUAUUAAGAACCUCUCCUUAUCAUAUUCACUCGGUAUUGUACUGUAGUAUGAAUACUUAGAUUGUAUAUUGUCUAAAAUAAAGUCUCAGAUUAUGUGUACAUAUUCUAUAUAAUUGCCUCAGCAAUUUUCAUUUUUUUAGAAUAUGUAGUUUUCAAGUACAAUUUUUUUUUAAUUCAAAUUUUUGGGAUCACAAGGUAGAUGAGGCAUCUACUGCAUUUUGCAGAUUAUCCUCAUCGCUGAAAGAUCUACAUUUUGCCUUCGUUAUUUUGGCAAAAUGACUAUCUUCGAGUGCUCUCCCGAAUAUGCGAAUUAAUGUGACUACCUCAAAUUUUUACAAAUCACAAGGUAAUUGUGUGAUCUACUGCAUAAUUUGCAGAUUAUCCACUCUUGCUGAGAGGUCUACAUCUAGUCUUUUGACAAGAUGACUACCUUCAAAGUGUUUUUGUAAAAUAUAGUAUGACACAAGGUAAUGGACUACGAACAUCUACUGGUCAAAACCAGACUAUGUUCUCCACUACUAUGAGAUCUACACCCCAACGGUGAAUAUUUUCGAAGUGUCAUAUACAUAAAAUGAGGUCUACACAUAAAGCAUCAGCUAUACUUGAAAAUUUUGCUUCCUAAAGCAUUUGUUGUAACUUAUAUUUUACUCUCAUAGUAAAACUAAAUUAUGCAUGAAAAUACCAUGCAGGAAAUGGCUGGUGUCAUGCAUCGUGAAUUUCAUGAACUUGAACUAGAUGGUAGUAUCUAUUUACCAUGGGCUAUGGAUGCAAAGAUAGCCCUCGAAAGCCGUAAACUCGGUUUCACUAUCACCACACCCGUUGAAGGCGCCGGAGAAAUCCCCACGGCAGCCAAAUAUAGAGCUUUAAGUUUCUUAAGGCACCAUCUCCAUUCAGACUUAAAGUCGGAAUAUUUGAUGGAAGAAGAUCCACUGGUUUUGUGGAACUCUCUCAAGGAGAGAUAUGACCAGCAAAGAGCAGUCAUGCUGCCAGAAGCACAGAGAGAAUGGUCCCUCAUAAGGUUCCAAGACUUCAAAUCUGUGGCAGCAUAUAACUCUGCAGUUCACAAGGUUAACUCAAAACUAAGGUUUUGCAAUCAAGAAAUUUCUGAAGAAGACCUUAUUGAGAAGACCUUGUGCACUUUCCACCCCUCGAUGAGGGUACUACAAUAGAAGUACCGUCAACAAAAAUACAAAAAGUAUUCUGAGCUCAUAUACACUUUACUUCAGGCUGAGAAACAUGAUGAACUUCUCAUGAAGAAUCAUCAGACACGCCCAACGGGCUCAAUGCCACUCCCUGAAGCACAUGCUAACACUCAGUUUACUAAAAAGUAUGGGGGCAACAAAAAGAAUUUCAAAAAAUUCAAUGGAAAGUGGAAAAGGAACAACAAGCAGAAAAGCUUUGGUCAAUCUAAAGGUAAAGGUCACUUCAAGAAAAAUGACCGAAACACCAACUCCGAGAUUUGUCAAAGAUGUGGAUGUACUAACCAUCGUACUAGUAAAUGCCGAACUCCCAAGCAUCUAGCGGAUUUAUACAUCAAAUCCACUGGGAAAGGCAAACAAGUUCAUGGAAAAGCCGAAGCUCACUUCAACGCCUUACAACAAGAAGAAAACCUUGAAGCUAGCACUUCUCAAAGCGCUCCUAAGGAAACAAGGCAGAAGGAUGAAGAUCUUCUUGAUGUUGGCAACAUGAUGGUGGAAUACACCCAAGACGCAUAGAGAUCUUAUAUAAUCUCCACAUCACUCAUUUGAUGUUAUCAACUAUUUUAUUGUAAUAAUGGAUGUUAUAAUUUGUAUAACUCUAAGUAGAAUAAAAGUCCUACGGACCAAUCGUAUUAUGUAAUUCAAACAUAAUGUCAUAUUUAUAUUUGUAACUGUAAUAUGAAUACUUUGUAUGUAUAUAUUUAUAUGUGAGUAAUAUGAAUAAAGUUUCAUCCUAAAAUAUUCUUUUACUCUAUAUAGAUUUUACGGGAAAAUAAUCCAAUGGAAGAAGAAUUAUGUUUGGUGGACAGUUGUACCAGUAACACAAUAUUAAGGGAAAUAAAAUAUUUCCAAACUCUAACUAAGAGAAAAGGGAAUAUUAUGACCAUUGACAGUCGCGAUGCGUCGAUUAUUGGUUCAGGACGAGCCACACUCGUUCUACCUAUGGGUAGUACAAUUGCAAUUGAGGAUGCACUAUUGUAUCCUCAAUCUACACGCACUCUUCUAAGUUUCAAAGACCUCAGAUCAAAUAACUUCCAUUUGGAAACAAUAUCUGAAAAUAAUUUUGAACAUUUGCUUUUAACAAAGAGUAAUGGGUCUGAGAAACAAAUUCUUGAGAAAUUCCCCUCACUUUCAUCUGGAUUAUAUUACAGUUAUAUAAAACCCGUACCACAUGUUGCGUACAAAAUAAUUUUUCAAGAUCUUGAUAAAUUCAAGACUUGGCAUGAUCGCCUAGGUCAUCCUGGCGUAGGGAUGAUGACAAAAAUUAUUGACAAUUCUAUUGGUCACAGCCUUCCAACUAUAAAUUUCCCAAAAUCAUCAGAUUUUGUGUGCACCGCAUGUGCAACUGGAAAAUUAAUUAUAAAACCAUCUUAUCUUAAAGUUAAAAAUGAGUCAUUAAAUUUUCUUGAACGCAUUCAAGGAGAUAUAUGUGGUCCAAUUCAAGCACUAUCAGGACCUUUUAGAUAUUUCAUGGUGCUCAUAUAUGCAUCUACUAGAUGGUCACAUGUGUGUCUAUUGUCCACACGAAAUCAUGCUUUUUCCAAGCUAAUUGAUCAAAUUAUCAAAUUAAGAGCAAAUCAUCCUAAAAAUAGGAUAAAAACAAUUCGAAUGGAUAAUGCCGCUGAAUUUUCUUCACGUGCAUUCAAUGACUAUUGCAUGGCUAUGGGCAUUCAUUUAGAACAUUUUGUGCCUUAUGUUCAUACUCAAAAUGGUUUGGCUGAAUCUCUCAUCAAAAGAGUAAAAUUAGUUGCUCGACCACUAUUACAGAAUUGUAAUUUACCAGCAUCAUGUUGGGCACAUGCGGUAUUACACGCCGCAGAUCUGAUACAAAUCAGACCAACUGCAUAUCAUACAACCUCCCCGCUACAACUAGUACGUAGCACUCAGCCAAGUAUUUCCCAUCUACGAAAAUUCGGUUGCGCAGUAUACGUACCGAUAUCACCACCGCAGCGUACAUCCAUGGGCCCCCACAGAAAACUAGGGAUCUAUGUGGGUUAUAACUCUCCGUCAAUAAUAAAAUAUCUUGAACCUCUUACAGGGGACCUGUUUACUGCCCGCUACGCUGAUUCAAUUUUUGAUGAGGACCAUUUUCAGGCAUUAGGGGGAGAAUCAAACCACAAAGAAUGCCAGGAAAUAGAUUGGAAUGUAACAGGCAUUCAGUCCUUAGAUCCACGUACUAAAGAAUCUGAAACUGAAGUUCAGAGGAUCAUAGAUUUGCAACAUAUUGCAAAUAAUCUGCCAGAUGCAUUUACUGACCAUAAAGGUGUCACUAAAUCACAUAUUCCCGCUGUUAAUGCACCAGAACGAGUGGAGGUACCAACUAAAACCACUCAAACCACAAAUGAGAGUAAGAGGGGGAGAAAUCUGGUUAGUCGGAAUAUAGCUUCUCAAAAGCCUCCGCGGAAACAGAGGAAAUCAAAUCCUCUACCAGUAAAUGCAAUUCAACCUCAAGUUGAAGGACACCAACCAGAUGCUCAACAUCUUGAACCUAGCAUAAAUGCGCAUAAAAACAUAAUUGCUGGGACAUCGGAACACCAUGGUUCUAUUGUUGUGGGAAAUCACAUAGAGUCUGAAGGUAUAAAAGAAAUUUCCAUAAACUAUACAGAAUCAGGAGAAUCAUAUAAUAGAGAGACUACAAUUGUCGACAUAUAUUUCGCCUCUAAAAUUGCUGAAACCCUUCAACUGGAUCCAGAACCAAAGACCGUCAGGGAGUGCCUCAAGCGUCCUGAUUGGCCUAAAUGGAAGGAAGCAAUUGAGGCAGAAGUGCGCUCGCUCAACAAAAGAGAGGUAUUUUCCUCGGUAAUACCUACUCCUCAUAAUGUAUUCCCUGUUGGAGCAAAAUGGGUUUUUGUUCGAAAAAGGAAUGAAAACAAUGAGGUGGUGAGAUACAAAGCGAGGCUUGUAGCACAAGGGUUCACGCAGAGGCCCGACAUCGAUUACGAUGAUACAUACUCUCCUGUAAUGAGUGGAAUAACGUUUCGAUACUUAAUAUCUUUGGCAGUACAAAUGAAUUUAUCUAUGCAGUUGAUGGAUGUAGUGACAACAUACUUAUAUGGGUCACUCAAAUCGGACAUAUAUAUGAAAGUCCCUGAAUGACUUAAAAUGUCGAAUCCAAAAGAAAAUCGCAACGCAUAUUGUGUAAAAUUACAAAAGUCACUAUAUGGCUUAAAACAAUCGGGUAGAAUGUGGUAUAACCGACUGAGUGAGUUCCUUAUUCAAAAAGGCUACUCAAAUAAUGAUGAUUGCCCUUGUGUAUUGAUAAAGAAAUCCUCAAAUGGAUUUUGCAUCAUCUCAGUGUACGUUGAUGACCUCAAUAUCAUGGGAAGUACACCUGAUAUCGAAGAAGCACACAAUCAUCUAAUGGCGAAUUUGAGAUGAAAGAUUUGGGAAAGACCAAAUUCUGCUUAGGCUUACAGCUUGAGCAUCUUCCCUCGGGAAUUUUAGUAUACCAACCUGCAUAUAUUCAAAAGGUUUUGGAAAAUUUUAAUAUGGAUAAAUCAUAUCCAACCAAAACACCCAUGGUUGUCAGAUCCCUUGAUAUGAAUAAAGAUCCUUUUAGACCUCGGGAUGAUGACGAAGAGAUAUUAGGACCUGAGUUCCCGUAUCUCAGUGCCAUUGGUGCGCUAAUAUACCUUGCAAAUUGCACCAGGCCUGAUAUUGCAUUUACAGUAAAUUUACUAGCUAGACAUAGCGCUGCUUCAUCAAAACGUCAUUGGACGGGAGUAAAGAAUAUCCUUAGAUAUUUACAUGGCACAAAGGAUCUUGGCUUAUUCUAUCAGAAAAACCAAGAUAUGACUAUGGUAGGAUAUACUGAUGCUGGCUAUCUAUCUGAUCCUCACAAUGUCAGGUCACAAACAGGUUUCGUAUUCUUAUAUGGUGGAACUGCUUUUUCAUGGAAGUCAACAAAACAGACUCUCCUAGCAACCUCCACUAAUCAUUCUGAAAUUGUUGCAUUAUUUGAAGCAUCUAAAGAAUGUGUAUGGCUUCGCAGGAUGAUUAACCAUAUUCAAACUUCAUGUGGUGUUGGUUCAUUAGGAUCACCAACUAUUAUAUAUGAAGAUAAUGCAGCCUACAUUGCUCAAAUGCAAAUGGGUUAUGUAAAAAGUAAUAUCACAAAACAUAUUUCUCCUAAGUUAUUCUAUCCUCAUGCAUUACAGAAGGAUGGAGAAAUUGAUAUUUUACAAACUAAAUCAUGUGACAAUCUAGCAGAUUUGUUCACAAAGUCUUUACCAAAUUCAACGUUCCAGAAAUACAUUCAUGGAAUUGGUAUGAGAUGAUUCCGAGAUUUGCAAAGUUCAGGGGGAGAAAUCUCCUGAAAAUAUAACCCUUUAAUUAUCAUCAGGUAAUGAAUAUUGUACUCUUUUCCUUUAUGAGUUUUUCCAACAGGUUUCUCAUAUAAGGUUUUUAACGAGACAAUUAAAUACAAGUAUUGAUGCAUGCCAUAUCAUAUUUCUCCUUAUAUUUUUCCUACUAGGUUUUAAAGGAGUUUUUUAUGGCACAUCUCAUUGCACUCUUUUCAUUAUGAGUUUUUUUGACAUUUUCUCUCAUAAUGUUUUUAAUGAAGCAAUAUCUUAUCAAUGAUCAUAUAUCAUACUUUCUAUUUUCCCUAUCGGGGUUUUAAAGGAAGUACUCAAGACAUAUAUUGUUCUCUAAACUCAAAAAUGAGUUUUAUCCCUAUAUAAAGGUUUUCUCAAAUGAGUUAUCAUGAGGCAAUAAUCAUUAUAUGUUGCACAAUUUUUUCCUUAUUAUUUUUCCACUGGGUUUAAAGGAGUUUUAGCAACAUAUCUACACUAUUGUCCUUAUAUUUUUUCCACAGGGUUUUUGGAGGAGACUUUAAAGAUUAUACAACGACUUUUCAAGAUGAAGAUGAGGAACAUUCUUAAAGAGAAAAAUUUACAAGGAUUAUUAUUUAUCAAGAUGAUGCACAUUUACACAGACAAGCAUGGAUUAGGGAGAGUGUUAGGAAUUAAUUAAAUGUAUUAAUUAAUGGGAUAAUCCCUGCGUUGCCGGUUGCCUUGUUUUAGCAACCGUUCCUUGUAAACCGCCUCUGUAACAAGGGUAUAAAUACCCACAUCUUCAAUCAAUGAAAACACUGUUCCAUCAUUCUGUCACUUUUACUACUUUACACUCUACUCCGUUCGUUGCCUCUCUCGCGGGAUGGGAAAGGGUGUGGUGGGCCACCAGGGCUCAGGCAAAAAAAAUUAUAUGCAUAUUAAAAAAAAAUCCUGGGGGUCUGGGUGUGCUGUGGCACACCCGCUGGGUCCGCCGAUGUCCGAAAGGGUAGAUUUCCUUCUUUUUUUACUGAUGAGAUAAGAGGAAAGCGGGGGAUGGACCCAUCGUCUACAUGCACACGCGUUCGUGCACCGGACCGCACCAUCAGAAAUCGUUAUGUACCAACAGAACAUAUGUGCAGUGUAUCGUGAUCACGUAUAAUACUGUCCCAUCAUCUAUAUCUUUUGCAGCUUAUACGAUGGCACUAAAUAUAUAUGCAUUGACGCGUCGUUGUUUUGUUUGUCUACAUACCGAGAGCAAGCGAGCUCGUGUGCUCUAUCCUCGCUCUCGAUAGUGGCUAGGCCAUUCAACCUCCAUGGCUAGCAGUCUAGACUUCACACUGCGGCAGCAAGCUAAAAGCAACUCCAACAAUUUCUCUGAAAUCCUUUCCGUAAAAGUGCUUUUACACGAUGUUUAUACAUUUUAGGGAAAGUUUUCUCAAAGUUAAUUUUGCCACAUCCCAUAAAGCUUGCCUAGUUUCUUGUGGUUUCAGCCGUGCAUGUAUAUUUAACUGUUGGUUUCUUGUGGUUUCAGCCGUGCAUGUAUAUUUAGCUGUUUUUUUUAAACGACUUUGCCUCAUCUUAUUAAUAAAGAAGAAGAGAGUUGCCCGAUUGAUUAAUGAAAAACUGGGCGAAAAUCAUUACAACACGUUCACACAGGACACACACGGCGACCUGACAACCCACAUAAAAACGCACACACGUAGCCGAGGAGAGAACACCGUUGAGGCUGCAAUCCGGUUUCAUCGCCAUCACACCUGCAAGGACGACUCCGACUCCAUCAUCGACGACCAUCAAUAUAAAAUAUAGCCCUCACCGUAAGCAAACGCCGAGGCCCACGCCGACCCCUUCCAAACAGUCAACCGCACACACCAACUACCAGACAGCUCCGACUCUGUCGACGAGAAUUGUAGGAGAAAAGCACUUAGCCUUAGCCGAGCCAGGGCUAGAACCGACCACCCGCCUUGCGUCAUUGUCGCCGCAUGACGCGAGACCCCUCCUCAACAGCUCCGACUCCAGGAAGACAAACUGAGGUGCAGCAACCCCCCCCCNGAGACCGACUACCAAAACUCAACAACAAACCAAUUCCGCCAGAAGCCACCAUUGUCACCGCACAAGAAGUUGCGCCAACCACAUCACCAGUCGGGCACCUGCCGACCACGAUGUCAUGUGUGUCCAGCUCCGUGAAAGCACGAAGGAAGCCAAUGACCCUCAAGGCAAUGCCCCCAAAGGGAUAGAGCGACGUGGGAGAACGACGCCAUCACCCGACUCACAUCCGAGUCUUUGGCUUUCGCCCGAUGGCAAUGGUCCGAAGGUGUUAGGCAAGGAAAGGGUCCACAAUGACCCUCAGGCAAAUUGUUACAUUUGUUGCAAAAUAAACAUAUGCACAAAAAUGCUCAUAUUUGCAAGAUAUGCCAGUAGAACAAAGCAUCGUGCAAGAUAUAACAGGAACGGAUGCAUUGAACAUCAAAAUCUUGGCCCAGACAUUCUUUUGUGUAACAUAAGCGCCACACACAGCGGUUCUAUGCAUAUCAAACUGAAACAUUUACCAUAUAGUAAAAUGUGACGAAAACAUUCUCUGCAUCAUCAUAUGAACAAUAGGAGAGAGCGAAAAGUUCCCAUGUCAGCCUUUUUGCCAACACUGAUGAAACAAGCACUGUGUUCAAGUAAACGACAAACAGACCUCAGCUCAGUCAGUUUGUAGAUGCAGACAUGGGCCUGCUGGUGCCUAAGCUCAGUGCCUAAUCAACCCCUAAGCAGCAGCAGCUCAUCAUAUAGCUGGAUCUUCUAAGUCAGCGGUGGACAAGUUAUUGAUUCGUGGAUACGCUGCCUUUUCGCUCAACUGGUUUUGAGUCCAAAUCAACAUCUUCAACAGGCUGGGGAGUUUCGGAUCUGCCAACAUGAACACAAAGAUCAAGGAUCUUCAAUAAAACAAAAAAAUCUGGCACAAGCAUGCUAGCAGUUUGAAAAAGCCCAAAGACAGCAACGAAACUUUCAUUCUGCUUAAAAUGUAUGAAUCGAUGGUACAAAAUCAAAACAAAGGCUUGCACAUCAUGCACUACUGAGGUGAAAAAGUUUGAAUUUCCGUGUUGCGAAUGUGAAUUUUAUUUUAAAAACUUGAAAAUAUUCAUCAUGAUUUCUUUCACCACAUCUCAAAAGAUUUUCAACAAGUAUCCCUACGCAGUUAUUUGACCUAUGUUUAUCAGUGUUUUCAAUAUUGAUUGCUGGUCACGCAUUAUCAGCUCAUGGGUUACCUGUUUUGAGCAUGACCGUACCUGCUUAUAUUAAUAUUAAGUCAGGUAACCUUUUGGUACAUCUAGUUUAAAUACACCAUGUUUUUGUUCAUAUUUCAGGAUAAAUAUAUACACUUGUCAGUCUGAUUUCCUUCUACCAAAGGGUUGCUUAUUCUAAAAUAAGGAAAUUGCUAUCAUUUCAUAUGGCACAGGCAUACAGGUACGCUUCAGUGACGAUAUACCAUAAAAAAGGUAAGCAAAUAAAAAGGGUAUCACAACAUAUACAUGCCUUAGUACGUACCUUUCUCAUGGCUUUGGCUUGUAAGAAUGGCAGCGUUAACUUCACUUGCUGUCUUCAAACGUUGAGAAACAUCCAGUAGUUCCCCGUAUGGGCAGUUUUUUACAUCUUCAAAAACCAAAAGCGCUACAGUUUUCUCUAUUUCCUCGAGAAAGGCUUCCUGCAAAAUUUCACAGACCAAAAGUAAGGUCACAGAAUGGUCUUAAAUGCAGUGGUAUUAACGGAAAAAAGUCAGCUAACAGGAGGAAUUGCAUUUUGAUUGAUGCAAUUUUGAACCCUGACUCUUAACUAAGGUAAGGGAGAUAAUUUGUUUCACUAAAAAUUACAUUUUCUUCGCCUCUUGGUGCGAGUUCUUCUUGAGCAAACUCCAAAGCUUCAGGUAUUUUCCCCACACGAAUCAACUCUAUCAGCUUUUGUUGCUGCAGAUGGAAGUAUAAUUCGGGAUUCGUAUCCAGAAUCUGCAUGUCAUAAGUUGAGUCAGGAUAGCAAGUCAAAAUUUAAUGAACCCCACUAUGAAAAACGCACAAUUGGAAUCUCGGUUAUAUAGAACUAACACAAAACUUCACUCAGCAGUAUACGAUAGAUCUAAAUAUACCACCGGCUGAAAAACGAGAAAAUGUAGUUUUCGCAAUCAAACGUAGAUGCAAUUUCUGAUACGCAUAUACCUAAGUUUCACAUAGAAAAAGAACAACUUCUAACCAAAAAACAAGCAUGGUCCAAAGACAAACCACAUCUAUCACCAGUACUGGAUUAACAAUUUGGUCUACUGUGACAUGUGAAAUUAAUUAUUGUUACACCAUUGCUCACCAGCAACACAUAAUGCAGAACCCAGAAUGUCCUUAGCACAUAGAUACAGCGAAGUGCCCAGAUACUGCAAGAUCAUCGCCCCCUUCUCCAUUCUUACUAAAAUUCUAAGCAACAAAUGCAGUCUUUCUUUUUCCUUCUGAAAGAAAGGGGUUUCCCCCCAGCCCCCACUUUAAUUAUGCAAUGGCCAAAACCGGACACAAAAGCAGUUUUCUUAAUCAAACAAAGAUGUAAUUUCUGAACCGCACAUUCAUAAGUUCUACUCAGAAAAAUAACAACUUGUAGCAAAAAGCAAGUAGGGUCCAAAGGCAAACCAAGUCGAUCAUCGGUACUAACACUUUGGUUAUUUCUCAGAUCUGAAAUUGGUUGUUACAUCAUCAGUUCAUCACCCACCAGUUAUCAGUAAACAUAAUGUGGAACCCCUAUGGUCGUUAUCACAUAUAUACAGGCAUACAGCAAAAUUAACCAAAACUGUCUCCUCCAAUCUUGUACUUUCCAGAAUCCAGAUAGCCCAACACCGAAAUAGGAACUGAAUUUGGGAGAAUGAGGGGCAGAAUGGAACCGUGGGGUUGAGAUCGUUGAUCCUCUCGACGGCCUCCUGGAUGUUCCCCGACUGAACCGCCUUCUUCACCUCCAUCCGGUCGGUGAUGGUCGCCAGGUCGAUCUCCGCUGCAACACGAAACCGCGCAUCGAUCAGACCUUGCACAGGGUGCCGUCACUAGGACAGCGAGCGAGAGGGGCUCGAGCUCGAUGCGUGUAGGCAAAGGCGUGGCGUACGGUACGUUGGGUGCCGGACUCGAGGCGGAAGCGGUGGGCGGCGUCGACGAGGCCCUCGGUGACGAGGAAGUUCAUCACGAGGCGGUUCAUGUCCUCCUUGCGGAUCUUGGCGUCCCGCAGCUUCCCCUCCCACUCGUCGCGCGUCACCACCUUCUUCGAGGUCGCCAUGGAGGGCGCGGGGCAGGAGCUGACUGCGCCGCGACGACGGGGAGAGGGAAACGGCGAGGGCAACAACGCGCGCGUGAGGCGGAGGUGUUUGGGGGCGUGGGGUGUGGGCGGGAGGGGGCGUCGGCGGUGAGGUACGGCGCGGCGGCGGGGCAAGGGCAGGCGGCGGUGGAGCGUGGAACCGUCCUGGGCUGGGUUAGGUUGGUAGGGUAAAACGAUGGUGGUUAUUAGGUUGGUAAUUUUCCUAUUCUUUCACAGGACGGGCCGGGCCUACCACCUGUACUUAACCGAUUUUCUUUUCUUUUUUCUGCUUUCCGUUUUCUGGUUUCUUUUUCUGUUUUUUCUCAAAUAACCAAAAAAAUAAAAACUAUGUUUAUUUAUUUUACUUAAAUUAUUGUUUUGGUAUUUGUGUUAAUAGUUUAUUAUUGCUUUGCUCAUCAGAUAAAAAAUCAAAAACAAAUGUCAGGUAUUAUUUCAAAAAACAUAUAAUGUGUAUGCAAAAAAUAAUGAUUUUUUACAAAAUAUAACAUGUGUAAGUAAGUAUUAAUAUAUUUCCAGAAAAUGUUCAUUGUAUAUUCUACAAAUCCGUAGCACGUAUUUUCAACAAUAUGAAGCCCAUAGUAAAAGGUUAUCUUAUAUUGAAAUUUUAAAAAAGCGCACCCUGUGUAAAAAAAAUUAAUCAUGUAUUUUUUAAUGUUCAUCGUGUAUUUAAGAAAUGAUCUUAAUUUGUUCUUCAGAGGUUGAUGUGUAUAUAAAAAAUGUCAUCACAAAUUUCAAAAUAUUCAUAUUUUUAUACAAAAAAGAGUCUCCAUGUAUUUUCACUAAAUUUAAGAACUUUGCUUUCAAAUUAUUAGAAAUCUUUUGAAACAGGCUCCUGGUGUGUCCCAGUACACAUUCGUCGUAGCCAAUAUAAGCUUCUACCUCGCUACAACCUGCAACGUAUUUGAGAGCAACUAAUGGACAAGCACCCCUUCGAAAGCCUCCGAAGGAUCAUGCAGAGAGCGCGUCGCUUGGCGCACUCUCAGCGUCCGCCACAUGUCAUGCUCUGGAGGCUACCUCUGUAUAUUUUUCUUUUAUUUUAUUUUGCAUNGUGACAGGCACAGAUUUCCUUUCGUGAAAGGCAUGAAUUUGCUUCCGUGAAAGGCAUGAUCAUCCCUUUCGAAAACAAAAAAAUGUAUAUUUUUCUCUUUCAUGAGAGGCAUUGUUGUGCCUCCUUUUUGUCUCUGUUUUUCUUUGUAUUUUCAUGAAUUUUGUUUUGUCAAAAACUAUUUAAAAUUGAUCCAUUUUGAUAAAAUCUCAACACGUGAAUUCCGACAAUGAAAAUGGUUCAUGAUUUAGAAGCAUGGUUCAAAAAAUAAAAACAUUUUUAAAAAGUGAAUCUAAAAGAAUCAUAUUGAGACAAAUGGCGCAUAUACAAUACACUACUUGCGAAGGCGACAAAAGAUAAUAAUGACCUUUGCAAGCGGUAUCCUUUAGUUUUUACUAUGGAAAAUCGAUGCGUUAAGACAACGACGGAUCCAACAACGACCAACCGAGCAUCAGAUAGCUCAGCCCACAUGGCCCUAAUAUGCAAUGACUAUAGCUCACUGGGAGAUGAGAUGUCCAUAGCUCCUAUUUGGCGCGUAAGCUGUUGUAUAGUGACCUUGCGCAUAUACACCCCACCCCCUGUGCGGUGAUGCGCAGCUGACCAGUGUAUGGAUCGGCCCGCUCUGGUUUUGUCCAUGCAAAAGGGUCUAGAACAUACAUGGAAUUUGUUUUUUCUCUCUUUUUCUAGUUUUAUUUCUUUCAUCUUUUAUGUUUUCCUUAUGAUUUAUGUUUCUAUUUUUUGUUGUUGUUGUGUUUGUUUUUAUUUCUUUUUAUUUUUCUUUCUUUUUUAUCUCGCGAACAUAUUUCAAAUUCCUUAUCAUUGCUUGAAAUAGUGAAUCAUUUUAAAACCAUAAACAUUUUUCGAAUUGGAGACCAUUUUAUAGAAACCAUGAACAUUUGUUUGAAAUAGUGAACAUUUUUUACAAACUCAUAGACAUCUUCUCAAGUCAUGUUCAUCGUGUAUUAAAAUAAGUGUUUUGUAUAUAAGAAUUUAUAUGAUUUGUUGAAAAUGUUGCCUGGGUAUUUGAAAAAAUAUUAUUAUGUAUUCAAAAUAUUGAACAUGUAUUUAAAAAUGUUUAUCUUGUACUGUAAAUGUUCAUCAUGUAUUAAACAAUGUCCAUCAUAUAUAUAUAAAUUACUUACCAUGUUUUUUGAAAUAGUUGACAUAUUAAAAAAACAGUCAUGCAACGGCUAGUUCCGCAUCACAAUAUGCCCGGCGUCCUAACAUCAAUAGUGAUUAUCUUUGGUGGGCGCACAUGCAUGAUUUUAGAAAGAUACGUUGUCUAGAUAAUGUUUGAAACACACCAGGGGUUGAAAUCAUGGCCUGUGUUGGUAGGGCUCAACAGAUGCGGACUUGCGUCGUUAAUUUAUUGAAGACGUUGUCUCAGUGAUGGCGCUGGCGGUGGCGGUGGCGAGGUGUAUCAUUUUACGAAGACGUUGUCGCGGAAGAAGUUGACCUAGUCCUAGGUGGUACAUCCAUAUAUUGUACUCCCUCCGUCUCAUAAUGUAAGAGUGUUUUUCGAUACAUGUAAAAAAAACGUUCUACCAUUAUGGGACGGAGAAAGUAAUGCUUAUGCGGUCUUUGAUUUUUUUGAUUUUUUGUAUGUACUUCAUUUUUUUGAUCACUUUGACCUUGCUCCUUUGUGUUAACUUAAAUAAAAGAUGGUUGCCUGUAUCAGUUGUAGAUGUAAGGGGGUUCCAACUCCACCUUCAUGAGAAAAUACAUCUCACUUUCUGUUUGUUUUUUUUUUUGUUUUUUUUUUUUACUAUCUAGUCUAGGAUAAAAGAACCUCUCACUAAGACUGGAACUAUUUUGGCAUCCCCAAUGGCACAAGUACGGGGGGAAUUAUGAUCGACGACGCACAAAGGAAGGUCAAAGGCUCAGCGAGUUAGUUAAUCCAGCAGCAGCAAUGAGCAUGUGCUUCUUCGCUUCUCUUGCUUUGCUGCUGUUGGAAUAACAAAACAUGAGUCUUAAAGUAGAGCUACAAAAUGGGAGCCCAGAUGCUGCUGCGCCUGCACAUGGACGAAUCGGCGGCACCGACAGAACGGAGUACUCCAUCCUACGUAGGGUAUGCUCGAUCGUGCUGGCCAUGUACUCGAUGAACAUAAUGUAUGUAGUACGUGUACGUACGUAUAAGGAUUCCACGCAAAUGGUACUGAGUAUUAAGAAGCGACUAGAUUAGUUAAGGUAGCUUAAUCAGCAUUGUACUUGAUUAGUUAAGGAUGGGCCCUUCCCCACGUACGUACGCAGCAGCUUCUAAUCAAGUGCGAUUAAGCCAAGUGAUCCACGGCCGAGAGGGUUUUGUCUGAUGCGAGAGCUGGCGACCGUGCCCUGUCAGUUUUGUCUGAUGCGGGUCUUUUCCUAUAUAAUCGAAUCGCAGAUUGACACUUUUCUGCCGAAAGAAAUGCAGGAGCUGGGCAGUAACCGGGCCUACAAGCAGUUUGCAAAUCUCUACUAAUAAAGGGGGCAGUUGGUAGCUGGAUCUCACCGGUUUAAUUUCGUCACUGGUUAAUUUUCGUCCACCUCUACCUGGUUAUUUUUCGUCCACCUCUACCUGGUUAUUUUUCAUCUCUCUUUCCACCAACUGUUGUUUUUUUUUUUUGUCUCUCCUUCCACCAAAGGAUGGUUUUUUUUCGUCUCUACUUUCUCAUCGGUUAAUUUUCGUCUCCUGAUUUUUGACCAGCCACCGGUUUAUGUUUCUAUCUCCUCCCGCAAAACAAAACUCUUUGCACAAAACAAACGCCAGUCCUCAUCCCGCACAGGGUUAGGGUUCCUGUGCCGCCGCCGCCGCGCUCCUCGACCUCCUACUGCCUUGCCCCUCUCUUCCCUCGACCUCCAGGAACCGCCACGCUCGACGAUCUCUUGCAGGCGGCCCUGCACCGGCUCCCGCCCGCGAACGUCGCGUGGGCGUCCUGCUUCUGCCGCCUCUGCCGCGCCGGCGUUUCCGACCGCGCCGUGCUGGAGGCCGCCUUCCAGGCGUGCUGGGGCGUGCGUCGCGACAACAAAGUGAACCAACGUCGUCCUCAACCGCCUCCUUCGUGAAUCGCCGACGUCGUCAAUCGCCUCCGUCCAUAACUAUCGCUGCCGGUUUGAACCAGCCGUCGCCGGUCAACCGCCGCCGUAAUUGCCUUCUGUUUUCUCUAACUAAUCUAGGUAUUUGUACAGACCUAUGUACGCCCUUUUGUCCGAAUACAUCUGAGCCGGAUCUACAUAUGGUGUCGGAUCUACAAAAUUUCAUACACAAAUAUAUGCCUCAAAUCUGCCUUACAGUACAUAUGGACGUUUUACGAGCGCGGGUGCAUCUGGAAAUUUCUUCGUCUCUUCAAACUUUACUCUGCAUACAACAAAUGACGACUUCCUUUAUCAAUAGCAGAUAUGUUUUCAAAAAAGUUUUCAUCGAAAAAACAACAAGGAGAAAGCUUUUUAGCAGGCAACACUGAUCUGGUUUAGUUUACCGCUCUUAAGCAUGCAUUCAUUGUAGGUAUGGGGAAUUCAAAAAGCAAGGCUAUUGGAGGUGACAACGUUUCAGAUGUCUCUACAGGUAUAUGCUACGCUAUGAAGUUAUAAGCUCUUCAAAAUGAAUUGUACCUACAAGUGUAUUCAUUUCAAUCAACUAUCCACAUUUUAUAUCGCCUAAUGAAUGGGUCUUUGUGGUCUCAUCCUAGCUAAUUUUGUAGUUAUUUAAUCCUUCCCUACAAGUUAAAUAUGUACCUUUUACCACUGUUCGGAACCUCAUGGAUCUUAUUCAGUUUAAAUAAUUUAUCCCUUACAACCACAUAUUUUUGAACUGCCAAAUAGUUUUACCUUGCAGCUUAUCAGUUCAUCUUCCGAAUAGGCAUCACUUUCCAAAGCAUCAUGUAAUUCAUUAAUCUUUCCACUGGCAUAUGAUUUACCAAUAUCAGAAACCUGCAAGCACGGGUACUUAAGUCAGCCCAUAUUUCAAAUUGUGAUGCAAUGGUGCUCCAGUCGCACAGAUAAAAACUUUCUGAAUACAAUAACCUGAUCUACGGCUUCCUUGCAAAGUAGCAUUUUAUUUUUUACUUGCAGUAUGCAAAUAUUUGCGCUAAGAGUAUUAUACACCAUGUUAACUGCGACCUAUGAAACAUAACAGUAAGGGAGAAAUAUUACAGAUUCAUAUAUCUGAAAAUUUUCAGAAAGUGGCCAGUAUUUUUGUCAGGUUGGGCUGUUCUUCAGCAUUGUCUUCCAAGCAAGAGUAUGCUAAUUGCAUACUCUGAUUUGCACCAGAAGUACGAGCCUCGUCUGCGAAGGAGGAAUCCAUCACAGACAUGAAGUCCCUUUGUCUAAUAUUGUCAACUGCCUAUUAGAACAAAGCCAAGUCAAUCCUUUCCAUAGAUAAUGUUCAAAGUAACAUACCAGUAGUCAUAUAUUACUUCUAAUGAGAAGACACUGGUGUAAUUCCACAGCAAAAUCAGUUUCUGUAAUUAUGUUGAUGGAAUAGCUAACGUCGGAAAUGUACAAGAUCUGAUUGAGCUACCCAUUCAUUGUAGGUAUGGUGAAUUCAAAUAGCAAGGCUACUGAAGAUGACAAAGUUUCAUAUGUAGCUACAGGUAUAUGGUACGCUAUGAAGUUUACCUACAGGUGUAUGCAUUUGAAUCAACUUUCAUAAAUUAUCCUUCUAAGAUCCUGAACUUGAUGCGCACAUCAAUACCAUAAACUAAACGGAGACAAAAAUGCAGGUAAGGAAAACAGUGGUAACUUAUUAAAUAGGUAACAUCAAUCUUUACUGAUGUCUUGGAAUGAUUAGUAUCGGCUGUGAUUAUCGAUUAACUUGACGAGGAAUGGGCCUAUGGCCUUAUGCGAACCACUCGAAAAAUAUUAUGAGAGGAAUCCCAGAAUGUAGAUGUGGUGGACAAUCUCCGUGCAGCCUGCUCAACAUAUAAUCUGGAGCCUUUGUGGUCUCAUCCGAGCUAAUUUUGUAGUUAUUUAUUCGUUGCCUACAACUAUCACAUAGUAUUCAUUAGAAAAUCAUGAAGAUUAAUAGUGAACAACAUGAAACUAUGAAUAACAAACAAAUAAUGGUAGGAUUUCUCUAACAACUUGCUACAUAUAUGUUAGUAUCUCUACUCCUAAAGUGGCAGUUGCAAGCUUCUUAUACUGUCAAAUGGAACAGGUGAUUUUAUAGAUCAAGGCAUGCAUGCUGAUGAUGACGAUGCUGAUCAAAUUAAUAUAGAUGUGGCAAAUGUUGAUGAAUACAACGCAAAUGGCAUAGCCGUAGAUGACAAUGAUGACAAUGAAUACUCUACUGGACCAGGUAUUUGUUUUGCUAUAAAGUUCAGAUGUUCAUUUAUACCGCCUACUUGUAUGGGCCUUUGUGGUCUCGUCCGAGCUAAUUUUGUAGUUAUUUUAAUCGUUGCGUACAAGUUAAAUAUGUAGCUUUUACCAAUGUUCUCAACCUCAUGUAUCUGAUUCAUUUUACAGUUCAUAGUCAUGCAAAAUGAUGGAUCUGAUAGGGCUGACCAUUCAUUGUAGGUGUGGGGAAUUCAAAAAGCAAGGCUACUGAAGAUGACAUAGUUUCAGAUGUAGCUGCAGGUAUAUGCUACGUUAUGAAGUUAAGCUCUUCGAAAAUAUUAUGCUACAUGUCUCAUCCGAAGCUAGAAAAUUUAAAGAUGCCAAAUAUAAUGAUUUACUAAAAAACAAUAUACAUCUAUAAUCGUUAGCAUAGUUCUUGCAUAAUAUGUUUUUGAGGAUGAUGGAGUAUCUCUUGCUGAAAUAGCCACCCCAACUAACAUGACAGGAGGAGUUGUCUUGGAUAAUAGCAAAGAAACAAGACAAAUACCUCCAAUUGGCCGCAAAAAGGCUCCUACUGACGAACAAAGGGAUCGUAUAAACGCAAAGAGGCGGGCUUCUUAUCUGAAGAAGAAAGAUAUGCUUAACCCAAACGAGAAGACAACUCACCAAUCGACGACAGGUAAGAUUGUGAUAUGUUUCGUCAUUCUUUUUAGUAUGAAAAUGUGCUGCCUUAUUCUGGAAUGCUAACUCUCAUGUCGCAGGCCUCUUUAAUGAUAUCAGGAAUGUUCAUCAACCUUGCCAUGUGAUAGGAGGUACACUUUUCGUAUGAAAAUUUAUGUUUCAUCUUUUCGAUAGCACUACAUGCGUUAUUUUUCGUAUGACACCACGAGCUGACAUGGAAAGUAUUAAACAAACAAGGCAGACACCGGCAAUUGGACGCAAUGAAAUGUUGAGUGACGAAAAAAAUAAGCUUAUACCCUCAAACAUGCAAGCUUGUUAUGAUGCAUCGUUGUCGUUAUCAUGUACCCUUAAUCAAGAUGAAAAUGUGGAUCCCCUUACGAUAUCAGGUAGCCUUCUCAUCUAUUUUAAGUUUCAACCUAAUGAUAAAGCAUUAUACAUGGGUACUGUCUUUUUAGUAAAAUGGAUUGUUUCCUUUGUUCAAAUAGCUAACCCAACUAAUAUGACACACCAACUAACAUCACAGGAGGAGCUGUCUUGAACAAUAGCAAAGAAACAAGGCAAAUACCUCCAAUUGUCCGCAAAAACACCUUGACUGAAGAACAAAGGGAACAUAUAAACGCAAAGAGGCGGGCUUCUUAUCGGAAGAAAAAAGAUAUGCUUAACCCAGACGAGAAGACAACUCACCAAACGACGACAAGUAAGAUUGUGAUAUGUUUUGGUCAUUCUUUUUAGUAUGAGAAUGUGUUGCCUUAUUCUGGAAUGCUGACUCUCAUGUCACAGGGCUCUUUAAUGAUAUCGCGAAUGUUCAUCAACCUUGCCAUGUGAUAGGAGGUACACUUUUCGAAAACAGUCUAUGGGUUCUCUUAUGUAGGUUGUUGAUGGACGAUAAAAAUUUAUGUUUCAUCAUUAUGAUAGUACCACAUGCGUUAAUUUUCGUAUUACACCAGGAGGUGACAUGGAAAAUAUUAAACAACCAAGGCACACACCGCCAAUUGGACGCACUGAAAUGUUGAGUGACAGAAAAAAUAAGCUUGUAACCUCAAACAUGCAAGCUUGUUAUGAUGCAUCUUUGUCAUUAUCAUGUACCCUUAAUCAAGAUGAAAAUGUGGAUCCCCUUACGAUAUCAGGUAGCCUUCUUAUCUAUUUUAAGUUUCAACCUAAUGAGUUAGCAUUGUACAUGGGUACUGUCUUUUUAGUAAGAUUGAUUGUUUCCUUUGUUCAAAUAGCUAACCCAACUAAUAUGACACAAGAAGUUGUCUUGAAUAACACCAAGGAAACAAGGCAGAUACCUCCAGUUGGGCUCAAAAAAAAAUUGACGGACGAACAAAGAGAGCAGAUAAACGCAAAGAGGUGGGCUUCUUAUCGAAAGAAAAGAGAUAUGCUUAUAGGAGAUGAAAAUCUUGCUCCACAUACAAUGACAAGUAAGCUUGUGAUAUGUUUGUGAAUAUCGUAAUGAUUUAUGAAAUGUGAUUAUUUUUGGCAUAUGUUUUCAUUGUAUUGUAUAACCAUCCAACCCAGCUAGAUGCGGUGUUACAUCAUCCUCACAUGACGAUGCAGCGUUGUCAUUAUCAACGACACUCAAUCAUUAUGAAAAUGUGUCUCCCCUUACUAUAUCAGGUAGCGUUGUUAACUAUUUUAUGUUUCAUCCUAAUGAUGUAGCAUUGCACUUGAAUAAUGUAUUUUCCAAGUAUGAUGACAUAUUCUUGUUGAAACAUGACAACAGGGGUUGUCUUGGAUGACACCGAAGAAAUUAGGCUAAUACGUCCAGGUGGAUGCAAUAAAAACUUGACUGUCGAAAAAAGGGAGCAGAUAAAUGCAAAAAGACGGGCUUCUUAUCAGAAGAAAAGAGAGAUGCUCAUCGAAGAUGAAAAACUUACUCUCCAUACGAUAUCAAGUAAGAUUGUACUAACAUCUUUUUACUUCCUAAGUCCCAAAUGUUUAACAACGCCCGCUCUAUAUCUUGUAAAUAAUGAAUUGAUGAACAUGUCAUCUCACUUGAUGAUGCAGCAUCGCGUUCUUCAGCUACACUAAGACUGAUGAAAAACUGACACCCCUUACGGUAUCAGGUAAUUUUAUACCAUGCUAUAUGUUUCCUGACAAUGAUUUACCGUAAUUUGACUAUAUUCAAGUUUCUUCAUUAUAUUUGAAAAUAAUUCGAGAUGAAUGAUGACAUAUUAUUUGUUGAACCAGACAACCCAAUUAGCUCCAGCUAUACAUCCUUCUCAAUUGACGAUGCAAUGUUUCGUGCUUCAAACACACUCGCAUGUGAUGACAUUCAUGAGGAAUAUCUAGCUCGCCAUAUACUACAUUCUUCCAUUACACCUGAAGUUGUGUUCAAUAGCACCAGUGAUUUUGAAUCAGCAAACCCUACUAAGUACAACAUUGCAUCAUUAUUGACUGAGGAUGAAAAUUUGCCUCCAUCAAGUUCACAAUAUGAUAGUGCUCGUCAUAAAACCCUAGCCAAGAGGACUUACGAUAAAGAGCGCAAUUCUAAAUUAACAAUCGAGCAGAAGGAUCAUGAUAACGCAAGGAGACGAGCUGGUAAACAGAAGAAACGGGAAGAGGGCACAAUCAAUGUUCAAGAGCAAAAUCAAAGGCAACGAGAGACACGCAUGGAGCGCCGGAAAAUUAUGACUUCCGAUGAGAAGGUGCGGUCAAGUGCAAAGAGAAAGGGAAAUUACCAUAGAAUAAAAACACCCCAUCCAUAGAAUCUAUCGCAAUGCCACGGCCAGAUGUUCUGGCUCUAUCUGAUUCCGCCCCAUCAAUUACCAUUCUGUCUUACACCGUCGGAACCGAUGGUAAAAAUUUGUUAUUGUCACAAUCUUUAGAACAAAAUUUUGCUUUACCCUCUUUUGCUUACUAUCUCUACGAUGUUGCAGAAGAUAUGGGGGCAUUCAUAAGCACCAUCGUGGACGAUGAUACGAUAUCAUCCUCCUUCAUUGAUGAUGAGUAUUAUCUGUUUCGCUCGCAAGGUAUCGUUUAUGGUGAAUUAGGAGAUAGUUUGACUUUUUUGAAAUAUCUGUUUAUGCUGCUCUGAGUGCGGUGUUUGAACAAAUGCAAAUAGGAUUCGAUGAUGAUAGCCAUGAUGGAGAUGAAGUCACGAACAUGUCUAGCGCUGAGUCUGUUGACAUUGAUCCGUUCGACUUUGUCUACUCAAACCUCCCAGAUAGAACACACAUCCUGAAGCACGCCAAGAACCGCGACCACUGCAAGGCCAAGAAGUUUGAGUCUCAGACCGACGGUUUCUGUUGUCGCAAUGGGCAGAUUGAGCUCAAGGAACCAGAUCCCAUCCCCGAGCUAAUGAGGCUUUGGUCCAGCAUGGAUGCAGACUCUAGACACUUUCGGGAAAACAUACGAUUCUUUAAUGGACACUUCGCAUUCACAACCCUUGGUGUCAACCUCGAUGAAAACUACACAAACAUGAAGUCUGGUGUGUACACUUUCAGGGCGCACGGCACCAUCUACCACAACGUGCAUUCCUUCGGGCCAUGCUCACGUCCAGAACAUCUCCAGCUGUACUUCUAUGAUGACGACCCAAACCUGACCCAUCGCAAGGUUGCCACCAAACAAUUGGACCAGAAUGUCGUCAAGGUGUUAGUGGACAUACUACGUGCAAACCGUACUCACAACAAUUUCGGAGUUUGGGUGCACACAAGGAUCACCUCGAUGAUUACAUGAUAGACCUCAACACCGACCAGAGGCUUGACCAACGGAGAUAUAAUAGGCCAAUGUCAUCAGAGGUAGCUGCAAUCUGGGUCGAGGGCGCCGACGUAGCGAAAAGGUUUGAUCGUAGCAUUACACUUUUCGGUAAUGAUAAUCACAGGCACAGUAUAGGUGUCAUUGAUGGCUCUUACGACCCGUUGUCCUAUCCCCUAUUCUACCCUUGUGGGGAGCUCGGUUGGCAUCCAAAACUGCCUAAACGUAAUGUCCCUUGGGAGGUUGUACAGCAACCAAGAAGGUGGCAUGAUAAUGAGGAGGAUGCAGGUAGCCUUUUUCUUUAUUAUGUUAUUAUGAAAAUAAUAUAAGACUCAUAUGUAUACUAACUAAAGGUGCUACAUUACCUGUUGCAGAGGGUAAUAGCAGGUUAUGCGUGUCCGUGAGAGACUACUACUGUUACAGACUGCAAACACGAACUGCUAUAUUGAAUCCCAUACUUUGUGGAGCACGAUUGCUCCAACAAUGGGUGGUCGACAUGUACAUCAAGAUAGAGAGUUGUAGGUUGAGAUGGUACAGAAAGAACCAAACAAAGAUCCGUGCCGACCUUUAUAAAGGAGUUGUUGAUGCUAUCACUCCUGGGGAGACACGAGCGAGCGCUGUCGGAGUAAGGAUAGUGCUCCCUGGAACGUACCCUGGUGGCGACCGUGACAUGAAACGGAGGCAUACGGAUGCCAUGUCAAUUGUCCAUACAUAUGGGAAGCCUGACAUCUUCUUGACCAUGACCUGCAACCCUAAAUGGGAAGAGAUAUCGAACGAGCUGCUUCCUGGUCAGACAGCUCAGGACCGACCUGACCUUGUGGCUCGCGUGUUUUAUGGCAAGCUAGAGGCUAUGAAAGAGUUGUUGUUCAAAAAGCAUAUCCUGGGUGUUGUUGUUGCGUAUGUAUACGUAGUCGAGUUCCAAAAAAGAGGCCUCCCCCACGCACACUUUCUGUUGAUCAUGGAUGCAUCAUAUAAGCUCGUCGUCCCGGAGCAAUACGACCGAGUCAUUUCCGCUGAGCUCUCGGACAAGCAUAAGUAUCCAGAACUCUAUGCCUUGGUGGUCAAACAUAUGAUGCAUGGUCCAUGCGGUGCUCUCAACCCCAAUAAUGUGUGCAUGCAACAAAACAAGUGCAAGUGCAGAUACCCUCGGGCAUUCAAUGAAAACACGGCACAGGGCAAGGACCAUACCCAGUUUAUCGACGUAGAGACGACGGGCAUAGGGCUAAGGUCCGGGGUAAAGUGUUGGACAACAGGUGGGUAGCGCCUUAUAACCCUUACCUUUUGCGGAUGUUCAAUUGCCACAUCAACGUCGAGGUCUGCUCGAGCAUAAAGGCCGUCAAAUACCUCUACAAGUACAUAUACAAGGGCCACGAUAGGGCUUCUUUCAGCAUCGACCAGCCGGACGCCGAUGGAAUCAUUGAUGAGAUCAAAAGAUAUGUCGACGCGAGGUGGGUUACUCCUCCGGAGGCCAUGUGGAGAAUAUUUGGCUUCUCCUUAUGGGGGAACUCCCCGUCUGUCCUACAGUUGCCUCUUCAUCUUCCGAAUAUGCACAUGGUGGCAUUCAAUGAGCAAGCUGACUUGACCAAUGUCCUCGCCUCUGAGAAUGCUUCAAAAUCCAUGUUGACGGAGUAUUUCAAGGCUAACCAAGACCACCCGUGGGCUAGGCAUAUAUUAUACAAGGAUUUUCCUGGGAGCUUCACAUGGCAGAGAACAAAGUAUUGGAAGCCACGGGUGGAACGUUAUCAAAUAGGGCGGAUCGUGUCUGCCAAUCCAGCCGAGGGGGAGCGAUACCAUCUGCGUGUAAUACUAAACCAUGUCGCGGGCAAGACAUCCUUCGAAGACAUGCUCACCUGGAUGGCAUUCUAUGUGGUAGCUUUCGUGAGGCUGCAGAGAGGUUGGGACUCAUUGAGGCAGACAACACGCUUGACGAUUGUCUUACUGAGGCGGAGCAGUGGGCGAUGCCUUGUUCGCUCAGGAGGCUUUUCGCAACAAUCUUGGUGCAUUGCGAGCCGGGCGAUGUGCGCGGUUUAUGGGAUAGGCACUUUGAGCCUAUGUGUGAUGACUAUCGUCGAGCACACAAGUGUACAAAUGAUGUGGAGCAGAUGGUGUUGUUGGAUAUUAGAGGUAUAUUGCAGUCCAUGGGGAAAGACAUUGUAGAUUUCGCUCUUCCGUGCAUUGACGAUGAGUUCGACCCGACCGGUGGCGAGGCAAGAGAGGUGAUUGAGGAGUCCACCGUCGAGUUUGACGUGAACGACACAAAAUUGGCUUCGUCACUAAACUUGGAGCAGAGGGUUGCAUACGACGAGAUACUAGCAGCAGUUGACCGCAGUGAUGGAGGUGUAUUCUUUGUUGAUGGCCCAGGAGGUACAGGGAAGACCUUUUUGUACAGGGCGCUACUCGCCAAGGUUCGGAGCAAGGGCAACAUCGCUAUCGCUAUCGCGACUUCUGGCGUCGCCGCUUCUAUCAUGCCUGGAGGAAGGACUGCCCACUCGAGGUUCAAGAUCCCAUUGAGUUGCGAUGAUGGUGCCUCAUGCAGCUUCGCCAAGCAGAGUGGGACCGCAAAGCUACUAAGGAUGGCUUCGUUGAUACUAUGGGAUGAGGCCACCAUGACUAAGCGACAGGCGGUCGAGGCACUUGACAAUAGCAUGCGCGACAUCAUGGGAAGACGGGACCGACCCUUCGGAGGAAAGACAGUUGUUUUCGGCGGCGACUUCAGGCAGGUGUUGCCGGUCGUCAGGAGGGGGUCCCGCAGUCAGAUAAUCGAUGCAACCCUUUGAAGUUCUCACCUCUGGAAGGGUAUGCGACAGCUAAGGCUCGUCACCAACAUGAGGGCUCAUAAUGACACAUGGUUUGCGGAUUACUUGCUUAGGGUAGGCAAUGGCACCGAGGAAGCUGACGAGCAUGGCAACAUACAGCUCCCUGAAGAUAUUUGUGUGCCAUCUACAGGCGAGAUGAACGACAUGGAGAAGUUGAUUGACCAUGUGUUUCCUGGUCUAGAUGAAAACAUGUCUGAUCCCAAUUACAUGACUUGUCGUGCAAUCCUCUCCACCACAAACGACAACGUUGACAAGAUAAACUUACGCAUGAUAGAUCGUUUUAAGGGUGAAGAAGUAAUAUACCAUAGUUUUGAUAGUGCACAGGACGACCCGUAUGGCUACUACGCUCCUGAGUUCCUGAACGGAUUGACCCCCAACGGGCUUCCUCCACAUGCACUCAAAUUGAAGCUGAACUUCCCUGUCAUACUUUUGAGGAACAUUGAUCCGGCUAAUGGACUAUGUAAUGGCACUAGGCUUGUUGUUCGAGGUUUCGAGAGGAACGCCAUUGAUGCAGAAAUCAUGAUUGGACAACAUGCUGGUAGGAGGGUAUUACUUCCUCGGAUACCCCUAUGCCCAUCUGACAACGACAUGUUUCCAUUCAAGUUCAAGAGGAAGCAAUUUCCUUUAAGGCUUAGCUUUGCUAUGACAAUUAACAAGGCGUAAGGACAGACCAUCCCGAUUGUCGGUGUGUACCUACCUAACCCGGUGUUCUCUCAUGGUCAACUUUAUGUCGCGCUGUCUCGAGCCACCGCGAAGAGAAACAUAAAGAUCCUCAUUGAGAAGGAGAAGGACAAGGGAAAGAAACAGACCAAUAAAUCAAAUAAGCGAAAAAGACCCACGCUAUGCUUACAAAGGACGAUGAAGAAUAUCGUCUACAAGGAAGUCCUUACAAGCUGAAGUUUAAUGUUUCUGUGCUUUUCUCUUAUUUCUCCUUUCCGUUUUAUUUUCAUAUAUUGUUAGUGCAUUUAGAUUUCAUGAAAAAAAUUAGUCAAUAAUUAUCUAAUGUGUAUGCUGCUGCACUAACUUUCAUGAUUAAAAAGUUAUCAAUUGUGAUUAAAUAGUUCUGAUUGAGCAUAUAAUUCAAAGAAUGGUCGAGUCAAAGCGGAAGAGUGCCAAUGCACUAGGUUAGGGAGAAGGUGUGACCUGUGUAGAAAAUUUACAUCGUUAUAGAAUCCAUGCACAUAUCUUCUCCCGAAAAUGACUUUUUUGUAAUGAACCCAAUGGAGGAGUAACCUGAUAGAGCCAACGGUAAUUGUUAUUUGCUUAUAGAUAAUUUAUCACAAGAAACUAAAAACUUAGGCUGCGCAUGUGUUUAACCCAAGCAUGCACAUCAAACUGACUUUGCACCAUGUUCAGCCAUCUCAUAGCGAAGUAUUAUUUCAGUACCUCAACACCUGCAGUUUUUACCAUAAAAAACCUCAUAGUACAAAAGCACGAGAAAAAAAACUUUUGAAGGAGAAUGUUCAUAGGAAGAGUCUAUUGUAGCAUGUGCAAACUGUACUUCCUAUUAUACCAUGGUGUUCACAGUAAUGUUUUUAAUGCAUUUCUUAUGUUAUGUAUAAUAUGUUACGAUUAGCGUUCUCAGCAAUUCAUUGAAGGAUGUAAACUAAGAAGUCAAAUGCAUAUAAGAUAUAACAGUAGUCACGUUAUGUGAAGGAAACUGACUGGGAGUGACCAACCUUACCUCAGGUAACUUCAAUGAUGUAUAACUUGUGAAUGUGUGAACCUCUUAUGCCUUGAAUCUUCCAUACAAGCAAUAUAAAAGAGGAUUGUGGUUGCCAAUCCAAUCAUCUGCAGCGGACAAAGUUUUGUGAAAGUAGGCUAGCAUUUUGUAUAUGGUUAAAAUACUUUGUCCCUUAAUAACAUGAAUAAACUGUGAUAUUUAAUUAUUCAUAGAAAUAUAUGUGAGCAUCUUAUUAAAUGAAUAAUACUCUUAAGGCAAGAAUAAUAAUUUAUGAUGCUGAUCGUACGUGGAGAAUACAGAGAUUGGCCAUGUAGUCUUCAUUGCCUAAUAGGUUAUCAAUUUUAUUUUCGGCGGCUUCGUGAAGAUGGGUCAGAUAUGUUACUUCAGCAAAUUAACCUUCCUAACUAAAAUACAGUACACCACUCAUUUCAGAUUUCCACCACAAUAUUGGCAAACAUCGCUUGCAGCUUUGUGAUCAUCGGUUACCGUAUUUUAGUUACAUGAACAUAGGUUAAUUCCAAAUGUUUUCAUCAGUGGAAUACAAUGCAAGAAUUCCAUUCCCAAAAUGUUGGACAAUUUUUUUUGCUAUAUAUCAACUAUGCAUAAUACACUAAUGAGUGCAACAGUCUGACAGAUGGACGAGACCGAUGAGAUACACUAUCAAGAACAAACUAUUUUAAUUCUCUAACGAAGUAUGAAUAGAGAAAUUAUAGCCAGACAACUUAUCGUAAGCAUGAUCUCCCACAUGGCAAAAUCAUUAACUCCUUCUGAUAAGACCAGCCAAAAAGCAUAGACAGAUGCCAAGAAAACGCCAAUCUACAUAAAUUCCUUGCAAAGCAACAGAAAAUACUGAUCAAUUACUGGUUAGUCUCAUCCAGAUAGAAGGACACAAAUGUGUGCACUGCUGAACCUAAUAUUGAAUUCAAAGAGGAUACAUGACGCAACAAAGCGACUUCAUUACCAUAUAUCAAUGUGUGCACCGCCGACAAAACAAUCACGAUUUAUUCAUGAAGCUUGAAUAAAUUUUCAAGUGUCUGCUAUAACUAUUUUUUAAAGGUGGAUAAUAAAUCUUUAAAUGUUUGAAUCUGGUACCAUAAAAAUUAAAUCUUCUACACUUGGAAAGAGAUAUCGCAUUCAUUAUAAAACACACAAUUAAUGAUAGACUACGUUGACUACUUAUCACAUGGUAUUGUGGAUGUGCCAGAUAUAUUUUAUCAUGAUAUCUAGAAAGGAUAUUAAUUAAAACAUGCAAUUAAUGAUACAAUCUGGUGCUUCCAUCUAUACAAAUCAUUCAUUGAUGUACAACUGGAAAGUCUUAUAGCAAUUUUGGUGCAUAAUCAUAUAUAGAAAACAUGAGAUGCAUCAAUAUUUUGAUACAAUCUGCAACUUCCAUAUAUACAGAAUUUCCCCGCAGUCCUUUAGGCUUCCAAAAAUGCCCAUCACCACUAUAUAUAUAAGUCUCCAUCAUUGUACAUAGGAUCAUCUCCUCUUUGACACCCUCUCCUCCACGAUUAUGGUAAUCUCAUACAGGUUGACGACCUCAAGGAGAGUGAUGGCGUCGCCAUCAUUUCCUGUCAUCCCUCGUCCCAUCACCCCCCAAUUAACAGGCAUGAAAAAAUUGAGCUGCUUGUACGUCAGUUUGCCAACACCGCUGAAUUUUGUUUGUCGUUCAUGAGGUUUAUUCUAUACACAGGAACUUGACAUUUCGUCACGUCGAGAUGGAGCAUAUAUACCAGAAUUGUUGGACCAUUCGUGCAAUGGUCCAAUGGAAGGCACAAAUCAAAGUGAAUUCCAUGGGAAACAUAUACCUUCAAUGCAUACUACUGGAUCAGGAAGUAAGGCAUUGCUCAUCACUAUUUCAUAGCAUAUAUUUUGUUGUACACAUUUGAUAAACGAUUUUAUUUGCUAAUUAUGUUGAUGAUUCGUAUAUUGCUUUAGGGGACAAAAAUGGAAGCCAUUGCGUUCAACAAUCAAGUUGUUCGUUUCAACACCAUUCUUCAAACCGGCAUGUCCUAUGAAUUCACUCGUGUAGGAUUUAACCCCACUGAAAUGGCAGUUGUACAUUUCUUGUAUCUAGACAUGGAGUUUAUCAUGACACUAGAUAGUAGGACUGUGGUUAUGAUUUCGGCGCACAGGAUAUCAACGGCAAUUUGUCCAUUGUGUUUCCCACAAUUUGGGGCCAUCUACUCACUACAAGACAAACGCAUAACUGGUGCAUUUUUUAUCUUUGUUCUUGCAUAUUUUGUUAUAGAACUCAGGGUCUCAUUCUGAUUAAAUCUUCGCAGAUGUUAUUGCUAUUGUUGCCUAUGUUAGUAAGAUACAAACUCUAUGGGAUCCAAUAUAUGAUAGACAUGUCCCUUUGCUCGAAAUUGGCCUCAUGAACUUUCGGUGAGAGUCGUUUAUAAUAUGAGAUUUACAUAUGCUUUUUUGAGUUAAUUGUUGCAAACAUAAACUAAAAUUUGUUUUUGUCUGUAGACGUCAGAUAAUUUUCCUACGCAUAUAUGACGAGCACGUUGGCCGUCAAUUUGACCAUUUGCGACGCAGCGUAAAUCAGUUCGAAAAAAUAUCAAUUACUUACAUACAAUUUAAUCGAAGGCGUCAAUGCUUGCAAACUAUGCGGGAGAGCACGUUCACCUAUUCUCCUAAUAUUGAUCAUGAGGGUCAUCAUCUACAAGGCAGGUGUUGCGUACUAUUUCAAAUUUUUGUCUUUAUAUUUUCUUGUACAAUACUAUGUCAUUAAUAUCACUGACACUUAUUUUUAUUUGUAGAUAUCCAUGAAGCCAGUCUCAUGACACUUGACGAAACACGUGCCUAUGUCAACAAUAUUGUCAUGGCUAGGAACAAUGGACUCUAGAAUUAUCUUCGUGUACUCAUUAUCACAUUUCUUCAUUGAUGUAAAAAGUCAAUCGAAAUUGUGAGUUAGGCAUCUCGUUGCCAAGUGUCUUCAUGUCUUAUCUUAUGUAAUAUAAUCUUAUGUAAUAAAAAUGUAUGAUAUUCAAUAAAAAAAUCUUUGUGUGGUAUGUGUUUUGUGCAUUCAAUAUUUUGGUUGGGAAAACCUGAGAUAAGAAAACUUGCCUAUAAAUGAUCGACCGAUAAAAUCGAUAAAUCGGACGAUAAGCCGAUUUAUCUCUUAAUCGUGUGUCGACCGAUAAGUUAACGAUAAUAGACAUCCUAAACAGGUGUAAUAAAUGUACGAUAUUCAAUAAAACAAAUCUGUGUGUAGUAGGUGUUUUGGGCAUGCAAUAUUUCGGAACCAACAUCUAUGUCAGGAAGGAUAUCAAUUACCGUAGACAGACUUAAUGCCUCUUGAUUUUAAGGUAAGGUCAAUCAAUAGUUUGUUUAUUAUUUGGAAGUCAAAUAAAUUUCUAUUCCAAGUUAUGUGUCAAUCAGGAUCACAACCCUUCAUAUAAUAUCCAUUCGGUCCUAUUUCAACGCCCAGCUCUGUCCUCACAAAUUUCUGAGCACACAACACUAUAUUUUCACCAAUGGAUGGUGUGCCGGCACCCCAAGAGGCUGUCCACGCACCAGUGGAUGUUCAGCUCCAAAUGCACGAGGCAUUGCCUGCCCCACUAGCGGAUGCAUACAACGUGCAUGUCGUAGAAGAUGCUGUCGACUACAUAUUUCAAUGGAUCAUAGACGCACAAGAAGAUGAGGCAUUAAAGUAAGUUAUCUUUUCUCCAUGUUUUGUUGUAGACCAUGCUGUAUUACUCUCCUACACAACAGGAUAAAUAUAUGUUCUGUUUUUGUGAGUUGAAUCAUUCGAUAGUUUGAAUUAACCACGAUAUUUUAGAUGUGUCCAGCUCACAGCUGUUACCCAUAAGUAUGUGCUUAGUUGUGUGCUAUAUUACUUUUGUAAGCGCGCUUUGUAACAACCAGAUCAAAGCAAUAAGCAAAAUAAGCCAAGCUGGACACACCCCUAUCGCCAAACAAAUAUUGAUGAAGAAAAUGUUUCAUACCAAAUAUACUUUUUUCAUAAAUAACAAAGUAUAUUUAUAUUGUAGGUAUGGGGAAUUCAAAAAGCAAAACUUAUAUAAUUCUGUUAUUUUCAUGUUAUUAUCAUUAAGCUAACUUUGGUAUAAAACAGUGUAAUGUUUGUUCAUCCACCAAAUUUUAAUGAAUGUUUAUUUUCUCCUAUUGGCUAACAUUGUUUGGAUUUAUUUGUGGUACCCUAAUGUAGAACAGUACAUUUUUUUAUCUGUGAUACAUGUGGCCAUGUUUUUUUAGACAACUAAUAGAUUGUUACAUUAAAAAAAGAGCUACCAGAUUAUGACACAUUAUUUAGCAGAUUUUCAAUGGAAGCAACUAUUUCACUUAUCUUUGCUUUCAAUCAAUCGUCUUUAUUUAUUCACGAUUAUCAUAUUUUUGGAUAAAGUUAUAUUUUCAAAAUAAGUUCGUUACAAUAUCCUAAUGGUGAUGCAGAUAUAUGUGGAUGUUUUUUUAUUAAAAGUUGUUCUGCUUAUUUUUGGUAGCACAAUAUGGAUAAGAAGCGCACGACCAUACCAUAUCGAGAUCAGCCUACGGGUCAUCCGGGAAACAAUUUGUCUUCAUGGACAAGUUCAUCCUGAUUGCUUCAAUAUCGUAGUUCGUAAACUCGCCAGCGCUGAAGUGGAGACCACUGCAGGCACAAGGAUGUUUGGAAAGAAACAUUUCUUUGACCUGCGGUUCCAUUCUCAGGCACGGGCUCUGAGACACUCUUGGACGGAACAAGGUCCCCGCACCACGGCUCUGAUUGACAAUGCUAUUGUCGAGCCGUUUCCUAAAUAUGAUGUGUUCAACUCUACAAUUGUAAGAGACUGUUGGUAAUUCCUAUCUUAAAAUUUAAUUUUAUUAUUAUAUUAACAGUUAACAUGUGUCUAUCUACUGCAUCUUCCACGGUAUCUACUACCAUUUACUUGUGUGGAUUCAAACUACGCACUACUUGUAGUCAAUAUGGAGUGUGGGAGGUUUGUCCAUUUUGAUCCAGCCAUCGACAUCUAUAGUCGUGGAAUUAGUUUUCAUAACAGUGAGUUGAUGAAGGAAAUCACAAUGUUGAAGGAAGAAUUCAACAAUGUGUUCCAUAUGAGGAUUCCUGAUUGGAAUACCCAACUCAUGGAAUGGCCUGCUGAUGGCAUAUCUUGUACUGCCAGACGGUAAUAUACUAAAGCAGAUCACUUACAGUAUGAGCACAUUUAUAUAGUUUUUAAUAUAUACAGUUUUUAACAGCAAAGACUCCGCUUUUCAAGUGCUACAAGAGAUGGCCCACCAGACUGGUACAACGGCGUCGAUGAGGUGUAAAACAGACGUAAGUACAUAAUAAAUAGGUUUAGUGUGCAAUUUAUUUUCUAGACAUUUAUUCCAUUAUGUUUUUUUGCAUCUUUUAUAGGAUUCAAUACAGCUCAGGAAGCAACUCAUGAUCCAGAUGCUGACGAUCAAACAUAGUGAAGCGGCUGGAAACAUCCCGGUUGAAAUUAGAGAAGCCUUGAGGGUCAUAACAGACUGACUAUGGACUGAUGGGUCUAAAAAUUACCGCAAAUAAAUCUGCAAUACAUCUUUUUUAGGUGUCUGCUUCACAAUUAUCUAUUUGGCAAUACGAAUAAUUAGUUGAUAUAUUUGGUUAUCUAUUCAUUUUGUUUUACUGAUAUAUUUAAAACUCUAAAUAUCAAGUCUUGGUCUAUGUAUGAUGUUUUAGUGGUAUUGGCAUCCACUAGCUUUGUAUUACCUACAAAUUUUUAUUGGGUUGGUGUCAUACCAAACCGGUUUGGUAGUACUCAUAAACCGUAUUCAUUUUGUAUUGGACCAUGCCAGGUUCACAUGAUUCUACAAGAGCAGCCAGUUGUCGGUGUACACGCACUAGUAUCGUGGCUCGCAUCCUAUACUGAUUCGUAUCGUAUAACUUCAUCCAUACACACACUGGUAUAUGAUACAAGGUUUACUUUGUCGAAUAUCAACCCAUACAAGCUACGGAAUAUUGAACUUAAAGAUAUGAUGGUUGUAAGUCAUGUACCUUGCAUUGCCUUUAAUCUUCAAGUAUCUUCACAUGUUUGCACAUGAUCCAAAAUCUAUAUCAGGAUCAUGAUAUUCCCAACUACGUGAUUGUUCACUUUUACGUUGACCUGAAUGGAAUAACCAAAUUAAAUGAAAAUGUGUUUUAUUCUUGACUACAUAAAGUAGAAGAUGAUACGAACAUUUAUCAACCAACAGGGAGGAGGAAGAAAUUUAUUAUUAAGCUACUAUAAAGGAGAUACAUAUUCUUUUAAUAAGCCAAUUGUGAUCAGGCAAUAUUUUGUGUUCUAUGUAUGAAGCAUGUUUUUCACUCAUCUAUUACCACUAUUACGAGACAAAACUUUGAGAAGUACCAUUAGAUUAUCCAACACCUUCUAUAACCUAAGAAUAUAAGGUAUUAUGUAUGAAGUUUAAUACUAAUGAUACAGAGAUAAAAUGGACAAGUGCGAGGCUACCGAAUAACAAGUUAAAAAUUGAUAUAUGCAUGGGAGUAUGGAUCGAGAAAUUUGAAACCUGAGAAAGAAGGUCUAUGAUUUAACAUGUAAAAAUAAAGAAUAAUAGAAAUCUCGAUAAAUACAACUUGUCAUGCUACUACUUAUCUUAUGAUUUAAGCAUAUGCAUCCAUUUAUAGAAUCAACCUGUACCAAAGUAAAAUCAUAUGCUUGAGAUAACUUGGCAGAGUAUAAACAGAGUAGAAUUCAUAUGCUUGAAAUUGAAUUAGAGCAGAACUAAGUUACUAAAUAACCUACCCGUUUGACUAUGACAUUGUUGGCAUCCUCUUUAGCCACUUCUUACUUUAGUAAUGUACUAAGAUCAUGGCAUAUUUUCAAAGAUAAUACUAUCUAUCCAAACCAAACAAGAAAACACUUCAUUACAACGGGGAAUAAUUAGGGACAAUUUCACUAUGUAAAAUGCAUUGAUAAAUUUAAAAAUAGUUAUCACAGAAAAUUAAACGCCGUGCGUUGCCAUGGGCUUUCAGAAAAUAAAUAAGAUGUUACUAACUGAGUUAACCAAGAACAAUGCUGACUAAGCUAACACACAUCUUUUUUAUAUAAUCAGCUAACACAUAUCAUACUAUGAAACACAAUAAUCUUAGAGCACCUAUAGCCGGUCCCCUCAAAUCCUGCUCAAACGUCCACGGAAACUAACCAGUGGAGAAAUAUGUAUAGAGAGACAUGGGUGAGAAAGGGGCAGGCACCAUUCACUAUGUGACAUAUUAGUGUAACAAGCAUCGGUAUUAUAUACCUUGAAAUGUACAAGUACAAGGCCACAUUGCAGACCACCCAAAUAGGUUACAAUCACUAUAUUGAGAUGAUAAAGCAAAAGAACAACCAGUGAGCUUACUUAAAGUACCGUUGAUUUACAAAUUACUAACCAAUGGAGUCAUCCAGACUCAAAUGUAUCCUGACAACACCAUGGAGCAUCAGGUUGGAGCGGUUUAUUUUCUGUGAUAAUAUAUCUUCCAUUCCUGUAGUAAUAAAGUAUGAACAAUGAUUAGAGAUUAAAUAAAAAAAGAUAGAAAGACACAGUUACGAUAAAUCUUGCAUUCACACUUCAUGUAGCAUACUUAGCAUACAUAAAUUAUUUUUCUACACGGCACAGAAUAUAGUAAGUAGUUAUCUACCAGCUUUGCUUCUAAUGAAUCCAUAGUGUGUAGGGUUUAUAGCUAAUGCAAGAGCAAACAAUUGAGAACCAUAUAGCUAGAUCAAGCAAUUAUAUAUUUGAACCAUGUAUAAAUUUGACAUGAGAAUUGCUUGACACCUGAAAAUGCCAACAAUUUUGAGCUUUAAUUUGAAAGGACCCAAAGCUGAUAGAUCACUCAGUAAAUAACUCUGAAAUAUAUCACCUGCAUACCGUAAGUAUGAAUGGAAUUUGUCAAAAUAAUUCUGAAAUAUUUCAGCUUUAUAUAUACCACUUUAGGAGUAUAGAUAUGUUAGUAUGUAUGGAAUUAAUGAGAAGUUCUUUAUUUAAUUAUGAUAAUUUGAUUCUAUAGUAAGUUCAGAUUGGUUGACAUCUUUCUAAUUUAUUAACAGGUGUGCAAUCAAUGGAAAAAGGAAACAAAUCUACACCAUACAAGAAUCAAAUUUAUUAACAGGUGUGAAAUCGUUGGAAAAAGGAAAAAGAUACGACAUACAAGAAUAUAUGGUAGAAUUUGAAUACGCCAGGAUGUGCUACCCAGUGGCCCUCCGCUUUGCCUACCUAUAUAGAUAACCUCCUCUGUCAUCCUUCUUCCCCCUCCUUGUUCUCCCUUCGCCCAUCACAUAUAGCAAAGGAUAUAUCAAAGGAUCAAAACAGACAAGGCUGGAUGGUAAAUUGAGGAGGAGUACAUUGCGUAAUCAAGGAGCAUCAAGAAGUCGAGUUCCUCUAGGUAUGAACUUUCCUAGAUCUUUCACUUUUCUAAAAGUUGAGUAUUUAUUAGAUUAUGAUCAUCUGGUUCAGGUUCACUAUCAAAUUGCAAAUGAAGAAUGGCAGUGGAGAUACUGCCAACUAAUCAAAACCUAACCAAGCUAACCUAUUAGGUGGGUUAUAGCUCACAACAUGUAUUCCCAAGGCAGGUCAAAAAAUAUGUAUUCCCAAGUAGCCUCAUUAGAAAUAAUAAUAUUACAAGGUGCCAACUAUCACAAAUAUAUACAUUAACUUGGAUCUCAGUGACUAAUGAGUAAGGCGGCGGUGGGAACAAUAAGCAGGGAAAGGAAGAAGGCAAUUGCAAUGGAGGGGGGAGGAAUACAAACCAUGAGGAGGAGAUAUUGAGCAGCAUGUCGAUGACCUUCGAAUGAACAUCUCCAUCAGAUCCUCCUUGGUGCCUGCGGCAACCAAUCCUCAAACAAUUCAUAACCAUCAGCACAAAUACUGACCAUAUCGAAUUCAGCCUCUGAACAAAUUUUAUGAGGCUGCAGAGACCAGGACAGCAAGAUAUACGUAUGGGCUGGCAGUGGUAGGUGACUUACUGAUGGCAGGCGGUCUGGAUGACGGCGAGGACAGCACGUAGGGGUUGGAGCCCGUGGUCGCCACGACCGGCGGCGUCGGUGGCCGCGCCAGGUCAUCCGAGGACAUGCGAGGGUACGCCAACGGCGGCGCGACUGCCGUGUGGGCUUCGGGCUUGCAGUCCAUGUGCGCUCGGCCUCCAGUGGGCAUAGUUGACGGCUGUAAGAGAGACGUGGUGGUCGGGGUAGUGACACGGGCACGCAAUAAAGCACGUGAGACACGCAUGGAUCUAGAAUCCAGGUCAUGGAAAUCGAUCAACCUCCACUGGUAGAGUAGAAGGAGGAGGAGGGAAAUGACGGCGACCUCUCCGUCGCCGCCGGCGCCACCGUGGUGGAGAGGAUUGGAGGGGAGGGGAGACGAGGGGCGUCUGCAUCUAGAAGCCAGGCCAUGUAAAUCGACCGGCCUCCAUCGGUAGAGUAGAAGGAGGAGCAGGGAAAUCACGAAUACCUCUCCGUCACCGCCGGCGCCACCGUGGGGGAGAAGAUUGGAGGGGAGGGGAGACGAGGGGCGUCUGCAUCUAGAAGCCAGGCCAUGUAAAUCGACCGGCCUCCACCGGUAUAGUAUAAGGAGGAGCAGGUAAAUCACGAAUACCUCUCCGUCGCUGCCGGCGCUUCCGUGGGGGAGAAGAUUGGAGGGGAAGGGAGACGAGGGGCGGUUGGAUCUAGAAGCCAGGCCAUGGAAAUCGACCGUGCUUCACCGACAAAGUAGAAGGAGUAGGAGGGAAAUCACGGAUACCUCUCUGUCGCUGCCGACGCCACCGUGGGGGAGAGGAUUGGAGGGGAAGGGAGACGAGGGGCGGUUGGAUCUAGAAGCCAGUCCAUGGAAAUCGUCCGGCUUCGACCGGCAGAGUAGAAGGAGGAAGAUGGAAAUCAUGGAGACCUCUCCGUCGCUGCCGGCGCCACCGUGGGGGAGAGUAUUGGAGGGGAGGGGAGGGGAGGGGGUCGGGUGUGUCCGCAUUUGGCCGACGGCGAAUGGGUGGAGGGGAAGGGAUGAGAGGGGACGGUGGUGGGAGACGAAGGGAGUGCAGUGGGUCGAGUGAGGCAAGGAGUGGAUAGAGUUCGACUGGAAACUGAGAGAGUGAGUUUGUUUAGCCAAAUGGAGAGAGUGAGGUUAAGGGAGAUCGGCCUGGUUGGGCCGUGCGGUAUAUUGGGUCAAGGUUGGGCCCUGCUGGAUAGUCAAUUUUCAACUUAGCUAUAUCAAAAAUGCUUAAAAUGUUUUAAAAAAUAAAAAUGCCUAAAAAAAAUCUAUGAAAAAAUAUAUAUAUUAAAAGUUGUUUAAAAAACAUGUAUAUUAUAGUUGGAUCAUACAAAUCAAUUUUUAUACUUAUUAGAUAUAUUCAUAGUAUCAACAAAAAACACAAUUUUGAAAGAAUAAGCCGAAUAUACUUGGUUUAUGUUGUAUCGCUUAGCCUAUAUAAAUAUAUUUAAAUGAUUUAAGAAAUUUCAGAAGACUGCUUAUUUAAAUAUGAACAUUAUAGUUGGUUGUUUGCUGAAAUAGAAAUGCAAUGUAUUUUUUAAUAAUAUGAAAAAGCAUUGUUUGUUUAUACAAAAUAAAACCGCUGUGUUAGUUUCAGUUUUAUUAUAUAAUAUGUUUAUAUGAUGCAAUAUAAAAUAUCAUUUAUAUUUCAUUGGAGAUAGAAAGUGAUGGGUUCUACUGAUGUAACGAUGAUGGACCAGACUGAAGCAUCACGAGAAGAGGUGCAUAUAGUUAAUCCUUUUUCGUAUGUAUGUUACUCAUGAUAAUACAAAAGAUUUAUUAGUUUAUAUUAAUAUUUUCAGAAUAUAGGAGACAUAGAUAUGGAUUUUGGAGAUGCACAAAAAGAAUCCAUCGACAUGGCUUCUGAUGCGGCAUAUCUAAAAGGGGCCGAGAAUCGAUCAAUUUCUUUACAAAACAAUGACGUGGAACUAAUGAUAUCUCAUAAAAAACCAAAAAGUAAUGCCAAUUUGAAUAUUACCACACAAGGUAUUUGUUCCUGUAAUUGACAACUAGGUACUCGCACGUGGCAACUAUAUAAACGCACAUAUGCACAUCCGACCCCAAUAAGCACCUUCGAGAGCUGAGCCAGCAUAUCAUUUUAAGAUGUACAAAAUCAUCAUAGACGCUACAUCAUCGAUGGAAACGUAUCCUCCCACUAAAUACGCAUCGACAAAAAUCCUAAAACAGAUUCAGAGAUAAUACAGUACGAACAAUAAAACUUAAACCUUGUUAGACCGGAGAUAACAAUGUCUUCUAACCAUCCAAUCAUAAGUUGGUUCGUUAUUCAUCGCUGGUUCUUACUUGAUGUGGUAUCAACGUUUUCCUAUAUAUUUAUUUUUCACCAGAUUCAGCGGCCAUAAAAUGCCCUGAAUCAGUAUACCAACAAAAUAAAAUAAAAUUUUGAAUUCCUUUACAUCGGAUGUACAAACGAUCUCUGUCGUCAUCCCUCGGGCAUAUAAUCCUGCACCCUAGCUACUGCCGCCGGAGAUGGUCGAGCGCGAGCGCAAGCGUCGGCGCGAACCUUUCGACGUCGACGCGCACGUUCUGCUUGCCGAGGUAGAACUCGGCGACCUUGUCCCACCCGCUCCGGUGGACGGAAUCCGGGUCCUUGAUCGCGGGGUGGUCCGGCCCGAGCGUCUCCAGCAGCGUGCUCUCCUCCGCCUUGAUGCUGUACUGGAGGUACCGGAGCCCCAUGUCGGACGCGGGGUCGCCGAACUCCCGCUGCGCCAUCGGCUCCAGCUUGCCGUACGGCACCACCUGGAUCACCACCGCGCCCGGCGGCAGGAACGCCGCGUUGGUCAGCCCGGCGCCGUGCACGCCCAGCAGCACGUCGAACGAGUUCACGGACAUGGCCAGCUCCUUGACGCGCACGUUGAACCGCGGGUCCGCUAUGACCACCUCGAACCCGGCCUUCUCCGCCGCCUUGACGAUCUCCGGCACGUUCACGAGCUUCCGGUAGUGGCCCCGGUCGAGCAGCAUCAACCGCGGCUUCUUCUUCUUCCUGUCCACCGGCGGGCUGCUCCCCUUGGUCAGGCGGAUGGGAGCGGCGCGCGGCAGGGAGUAUGUCUCGCGGAGGAAGGCGGUGAAGUUAGCCAUGGAGAGCGGCACGCCGCCGGGGACAAGCUCAGGCACGAUGUCGAACUCCCUGUGCAUGUUGAGGCCGACGGUGACGCGCCGGAAGCACCUGAUCUGAUCGUCAUGGUCCAGGUCCACGACGUCGUACUUGGUCAGCCGCCGCACGACGGCCUCGUACUUGCCGAGCCACCAGGGCUGGAUGUUGCUGGCCAGGAGCUGGACCUCGCCGUGGUACCGCCGCGACGCCACGAACAGCGGCACCAGCGCGUCGCUGAAGUCGUGGAAGUAGUUGCCCAGGUGACCGCCGAGCCCGAUCACGAUGGCCGGGACGCGGUGCGUCACCGUGCACGCCGGCGCCGGGGACGCCGCGGACGUCGAGUCGAGCUGCGUCACCGUGAUGUUGGGGAUGCCGGUCAUGUUGUAGCGGGCGUAGGGCUGGAUGCUCCACUCCCGGCGCUCUGUUAGGGACGUGGCCGGCACCAGGGUGACGGUGUGCGCCGUGCCGUUGGUCCGGACGUCGCCGGAGACGUCGCAGGUGUAGGAGAAGGGGCUCGCUCUGCACACCACCUUGCCGUUGUCUGCUCAACAAAAAAGGACACCAUGGUUAGUCAGCUUCAUUGAGGAUUGAGCAUUUUUACUGAUCAACUGAAAUCAAUUAGAUGCAGGAAGAGAAAUGCAGUGGUCAUCUAAUUGUUUCAAAGAAACAACGAGAGUUCAUCACUUAAGCUAGCUCAGCCAGGAAUAACCCGUUGCUACCCUACUUAAAAUAGACAACCCGUGAACUAUUCUUUUUUAUUUCAGGAAGGCCCUAAAGUGCAGUCAAAUGACCUCAAUGAUUCUUGCAAAUCCUUUACUGAAUUGGCAGAGCAAGUGUUGUUUAUUUGUGAAAGUUGAACCUAGUAGUAUAAUAGAGAUGACACCAUCAAAUUUAUUUUCUGGCUCCACCCCUGCUUAUAAAAUAGUCAAACUAAGAACUAAAUUUUAUUUCGGGAAGUCUCUAAAGCGGUAAGAUAUGGUUUGGUAUCGUUAGGUCCAAAUACAAGAAACGUUUGCAACACAAAAAUCCGAAUGGUCCCUAAAGUGAUCUGGACUUUGCCAUGUGUCCCGUUGAAAAGUAUUUUCACAAUGAUGCGCUACCCUACACUUUGCGGCCAGGUCAUCAUCAAACAUGAAAAACAGGAAAGAAAAUCGUCGGCAUGUUACCGUUUACAAGGGGAAGGAAUUUGGUAUAGAUGACCUAGUAUAUAUACUAGUUUCAUCAAUAAAUUUGAUCCAAAUACCAGUACCACCACCAGUGACCACCGGAUACGUUACUAUACGUCCCAAACCUACUAAUAAUCGGAUCGGAUCAGCACAUUUAUGGUGAGCAAUCAGUGAGCAGACAGUAGGUACUCUACAUACGUCUGAAAGCCGAUCGAAUCGAAUCAAACCUUCUCUACAUUUUCUACCAGUAUCAAAUGCAUCAUCACAUCGCAUCAAAUCACAUUAAUUUUGCUUGUUUUAAAUCAGGGGAAGGAAUAUUUGGACACAUACCGAAGGGCUUGGCGGCACCGUCGUCUCUGUCUCUCUUCCCCACGCCGCGUGCGCGGUGCUCUGCUUUCGGCGGCCCUGCUUUUGGUGAGAGAAAACACAGCUGCCUUUCGUUCACUCAUUCCGUCCAUGCCGUGCCACCGACACCAAGAAGAAGAAAGAAAGAUAUUUGUGGUGCUUACCCUGUUGCCGCUGCCGCUGCCGCUGCUCUUGAGCUGGUCCGGCCUCCGCCGUCGCCUCUCCUCCUCGAUUCCGUUGCGUUAAUCCUGGUCAAUUUAGCAUAUGAUUCGAUCAGUCAGAGAGGGAGGCACGCAUCACUGUCUCCAAAGAACAAGCUGACUUCGUCGGAUUCUUUCUUUCCAGCGGCGAGGUAGUGCGGCAUUAAUGGUCUCCAGAGUCCGUACUUGAAAUUGGGGUGCUGGGAGUUACAGCAGGGGCAGGGGUGGUGGUGGUGGAUCCUAACCUGCUUCGCCGGCGCGACCGGAGGACUUGGUCGCCUGGUGCUUCUUCCGGUGCGGCGUCAUGGCGGAGACGGCUGCUGCAGAUGGACGAACACGGACGAACGAACGUAUCAAGGGAGGGGCAAGACCGGCAAGGAAUCUAGAACCGAGAGAAGAGCGAGCGAUGCGCCGGGCGGGAGCGAAGGCACGGCGGCUGUGUCGAUCACCGGGGAGUGCGUACGUACCGUCAGGGGAGGCGACGGCGAACUGCUGGGAGACGACGAAGUAGGCGAGGAGCACGAGGAGGAAGCCGGCGACGAAGCAUAGGUUGAGGUGCCGCUGCGCCCAGGCGCCCACCGUCAGCCCCUUCCCGGCAGACGCCGGCGCCGGCGCCGACUGCUUCUCCACGCUGACCAUCUCCUCCUCCGUCUACCGGCCGCGGCACGAGGUUCUUGCUCCCUUGAAUGAGCGGCGGACUGGCGUCGCUGGUUCACAUGGGAGAGAGCUGUAGAUGGCUAGGGACGGGACAGAUGGUGUGGCAUGCAGAUGCAGAUGCAGUGUGCGACUUUGGGUUGGGGUUCCCAAAGCUUCGGCGCCCGCUGGCUUUCUCCUCCAUCGAUCGGUGGCCAUUUUGUACCCAUCCGGCGGCCACCCGGGCGGCGCCUUUCGCACUUAACCCCCUACUACUACUACUACAGAGUACAUAGAACCCAACCCAACGGUUUGGUGAAUGAUGAGGAGCAAUUAAGUCGACCCUUGAGCGACCGGUGAGAGCAACUCUGGUGAGAGCAACUCUAGCAGACCCGUAAAAAAUUUACCCGUAAAACACAUUUGCGGUUUCACGAAGAUCGCGUUUGCGGGUUGAAAACAUAUGUGAUCGAACAGAACCCGUAUCAAAACCUGUAUAAUUUAAAAAAAACACUUUCGCGGAAAAAAUUACACAAACAUAGUUCAUCACAUGAUCAACAAACUACAAGCAUAGUUACACUACAUACUACGUUAAACUAGUAAUAGAGGGGUCGGCGCUCCGCCUCCUCGCGCACGCUCCGCUCCAGCGGGCUCCUCCUUCACCGGGACGAAGGCGAACGGCGCCGGCUCCUCCGGCUCCUCCUCGUCGUCCGACCACUCCCUCUUCACGGGAAGAAAGCCCAUGCCAGAGGACGAGGAGGAUCCGGCAUAGGAAGAUCUCGCGGAGGAGAAGGACGUGCUACGGCGGUCGUACUCCUCCAUCUCGCGGCGGUUGAAGCUCGCCGGCGGCGACAUCCUGCGGUCGGUCCACCUCCGGGCGUCGCGCUUCCUCGCGCCGUCCGUCCGGACGAGCCGCUCGCGCUCCGGGUCCCUCUCACGGUCGGAUCUGCUGCCGGAGCCGCGUCCGAAGCUCCACAUUCGGCCCCACAUGACGGCUGGAGGCGAGGCGGGUGGUCGCCGGCGGCGAGAAAUGUGGAGAAAGGAAAGGGGAAUCGGGUGGCUCGCGGCGGCGGGGCGAUAGGGUUUGGACCCGCAAAAUGGUCGCGGAACCGCAGUUAUACUGCUCGGGGCGUGCGGUUUAUGUGCUACGGUAAAAAAAUGUGCGGACCGGGCGAGUAUGCGGGCUCUGUUCUAACCGAAAAAUUAGGUCGAGUCCGCAUACUAGCCGGAAUUUUUAGGGACCGGACGUUUUGCGGGAUGUGCUAGAGUUGCUAUAAGGAACAAUAACUAUUAUUAGAAAGCAACAAUCCUUAACACGGGCAUCAAGCCCGAGUGAGCACAUGAUUCUAUCGUAGAGAUCAGUUUGUCCUUGUCUCAGCACCAUCAUUCAGACUGGACCUGCCACGAGUGUUAGAUCUAUCAACCAGAAUGGUCAUAUCCCGCACCAUCGUCCUAACACCAGCCUGAAAACCAUCUUCCUUACAUUUAAAUUCUACUACUAUAAAGUCGCACAAAUUCAUAUUAGUAUCACUAUACUGUUUCUUAGAGGAUGCGGUUUAGCGGAUUUGCUAAAGAUGCCAUGAGCCUCCUCUCCCCGCGCUAGACACGCAUAUGUUCCUCCCCAACCAUCCCGACCGUGACGGCAAUGAUGAGUAUACAGUAUACAUGAUCCGUAAUGCCCAAGGGACGGAUUUCACCAACUGGCGAGGUGAUAUGUGAAAAAACAUAGUAGUUUUUCCAAUGCUAAUAAGCGCGUGCGGGCCCGGAUACUGCCCGGGUCAUGCGUUUCUUUUAGCAUAACGAAGGGGCUGUUGAUCUGUCAUUCGGCUUGAUAGAAACAAAACAUGCAUGUCGUAAGCUAAACCAGCAGCUCUUGCAUCAGACAAAAAACCUUACGGCUGUGGGUCACUUGGCUUAGGUUAAUCUACAUGUCUGAUCACACUUGGAAGCACAGUUGGAAGCUGCUGCCUGGGGUCCAUGAACCCUUUUUUUUAGAUAUAAUCAGUGUGCCGAGACGCGGACAUGUGCAAGACGCAGAUGCAGACAUGUGCCCAAGUCCACCGACGAAGCCGAGGCUGGGAAAUGUUGUGAUGUGCAAAGCGUGGUGCGUGAAGACGUUCCUCCUCCCCGCGUUCGAUCAGGUUAGAGCAAUUCCAACCGUUCGAUUCACUUUAUCAGCGCGUGUUUAUUUGGUUGCCGCGGACCAAAAAUAUAUAUCAAAUGUGUCUAUGUAAAUUAAAUUGUGUCCGUUACAUAUCCGUUAGGACUGAAAUUGGUGUGAGGGGACUCAAACCAAACCCAGCACGUUGGGGGCGUUAGAGGCGCUGGGGAAAGGAAUUCNNNNNNNNNNNNNNNNNNNNNNNNNNNNNNNNNNNNNNNNNNNNNNNNNNNNNNNNNNNNNNNNNNNNNNNNNNNNNNNNNNNNNNNNNNNNNNNNNNNNAGACAAGCCUCCGAAGUCUUCGAGGUGUACUCCAUCGAUCGCAAUCCCUAUUCGACGCUCGUGAGCGUCAAAAGGGGGCACGCAGCUUCGCUCAAGCUUGAUCUYAMRUWCGUCGWSGCUSGUUCGUUUCSUUUCUUUSUUUCUUUUUUGUCUUUUCUUUUCUUCUUUCCUUUUUAUUCUUUCCUUUUCUGCUUCUGUUUCUUUUUUUAUUUUAUUUCCUUUUUCAUGCAUAAUGAAAGGUUCAUUCUUCUUUGGAAAAAGAGUUCAUUCCGUGUUUAUACACAAAAAUGUUCAUCUUAUUCCAAACAAAAAAAUGUUCAACUUAUAUUUAACGAGUCUUCACCCCAUAUUACGAAAAUGCUUAACUUAUUUUUAAAUUUGCUCAUUGUGUAUGCUAAAAUUGUUCAGCGCAUAUCACAAAAUUGUUCAAUGUGUAUUUAAAUAUUUGUUUCAUCUUAUGUCACAAAAAUGUUCAAUGUGUACUUAAAUAAUGUUCGCAUUGUAUAAAAAUAUGUUUGAAGAUUGUUCAGAGCAUAUUAAAAUGUUUAUCGUACAAAAGUUUCAACAAUCUUUUGGAAUUUUAAAAGUGUGUUCACAUUUUUCAAACGUUUGUUCACUGUAUGUAAAAAAAUGUCCAUUGCCUAUACGAGAAUUGUUCAGUGUGGAAAAAAUAGUUCACCAUAUAUUAAAAAAUGUUCAGUUGAUAUUUGAGUAAAGUUCACCAUAUACUAAAAACGUUCAAUAUGAAGUUUUAAAUUCAUUCUAUUAAAAUAUUGUUUGGAAUUUUCACCUUAUUUACAUUGUGUCUUGUUCUUAUAGUGGUGCACUGCAAUGUCGACACAGAAGAGCAUCAGCUCGACUAGUUAUACUCGCAUGCGUGUAACGAGAGGUCCCAAGUUGGAUUUUGCCGGUCAUUUGUUUUUGGUAUAUUUUGGCGGUUCGAGAUGUAAUGGGCCAGCCCAAUUUAGGGAGUCCGGAACUAAGGGGUCCUCUAUCGGUUAGCUCAUCCCUUAUAGGCCGAUCAUAUGGACCGCGUUGUUGAAGAUCAGAUUGUGUGACGACCUCAUGCUUGAGAAAGAAUGUUCCGAAGACUGUCAUGUCAUCCAAGCAAAGUAGUCUAGAUCGUCCUAUCUGUCCCCUGCUGGAGGUCGUUUGUAUGUAACCCUAGGAACCCCUGGUGUCUAUAUGAACCAGAAGUUCUCAUCCGCAUUGGAAGGUUGAUUAAUAUAGGGUUUAGCUCAUACGAUCUCAGAGAGAUCAACUCUGUAAUUCUCAUCCACAUCAAUAUAAUCGAACAGGACGUAGGGUUUUACCUCAUCAAGAGGGCCCGGACCUGGGUAAAACAAUGUCUCCUUCUUCUCGUGUAACCUAUCGAUCCAUGGUCCACAGAUCGGGACCCCCUACCUGAGAUCCGCCAGUUUUAACACCAGUAUUGAUGAUUUCAUUGAGAGUUCUGCUGUAGGAUCGCCAGAAGGAUCGAUGGUUAGCUUAAUCAUCAGCAAUCGAAUCAGCAACGGGGACAUCUUCGUUCCCGGACAGGUUCUUGCGUUCGGCAGCUUCACACUGCGCGCCAACCCGACCGACUGUUUUGACCAGAUCGGAGGCUUCGUCUCGAGUCAGGAAAUAAGGUUUGGGAAUCUCGAAUUCUCCGCCGACUCGCGGGGCAAUCUGUUCCCCGCUAAGAUCACGGUUUCGUCCGAUGAGCUCCAAAAUCUCGAAGCCUUGACUUCGAGUCUCUUGUCGGGCCAUGACCUCGGUUCCCUCGUUGUCGAAGAGUUGGCCUUGAGCCCGAACCCGACCUAAGUGCGCGCGCAACAGCAAACGGUCAUUGCCGAACACGCAUCCCUAAAGUGGCAUUGAACUGCGACAGACGCGUCUUAUGGUACCGAGUCGUUACAUGGUGGCAAAGUGUGGUAGCUCCUUGCAAUUAACUCCAGGUGUCAGGAUCUAUUCGUCCGAUCAAUUUCCAUUUUUUUUCUUUAAUCUCUUCCUUUCCAUUUAAACAUAAUCAUAUAAAAUUGCAUGAUUGGUUGCGGGAGCAUCAAUAAGAAGAAUAUACGAAAGCGCAUGCUAAUACACAAAUAUCAUCGACCGGCCCUCCCGUGUCAAAUUUAAAGGUUGGUUGAAACAUGUGGUGCCGCCAUAGCUAUGCUUAUGCACGAAAAGUACCCAAUAAUCAAAAAUUAUAUGAUUUCAUAUCACGCUUACCACAAGUAAAACAGCAUAUAUUCACCACAACACAUUGUGCGCUGUGAGUAGAGGCAUGGCGAACUGCACAGGACAGAGUGUGCUUUUUAUUCGACUUCAUCUCCGACUAGAGCGUGUGGCAUGCCAUCGCCGACGGUCACCACGCGGACACCGGCCACCUCAGGCAUAGUUAUGCUUAUGAGGCUGUGUUGAGCAUGCUGCCACAGCCAGAGCCACAACCUGAACCAUGGCCACCAGAGUUGGCAUGGUUAGUCUCCCAUGAUCAUGCCACCACAUCCACCGCCACCGCACCCGGCGCCACAGCCUGAACCGCAGCCCCCAGACUUGGCAUGGCUCAUCUUGGAGCCUUCCAUGAUCAUGCGGCCACAUCCGCCGCCACCGCAGCCGGCACCACAGCCUGAACCACAGCCCCCAGACUUGGCGUGGCUCAUCUUGGAACCUUCCWUGACCAUGCCGUCACAACCGCCGCCACCGCAGCCGGCGCCACAGCCUGAACCACAGCCCCCAGACUUGGCAUGGCUCAUCCUGGAACCUUCCUUGACCAUGCCGUCACAAN